UUAUACUCUGUUAUGACGCGUUGCUCACAAGCGCGUGCUUCGGGGACUCGACGGAUAGGAUCCGCUAACAGACAAAUUAUAUCAUGGUUGGUAGUUUGAUCUGGACUCUAUCCGGAAACUAGUUUAAAGACUAGGAAUCUUGUAACUGUAAAAGAGGUGGACUCUUUCGAAACGCGGUAUAAGAAGGUCUCUUUCGAAACGCGGUAUAAGAAGGUCUCUUUCGAAACGCGGUAUAAGAAGGUCCCUACCCCACGGAAAAGCGCGGAGGAAUAGGGGGUAGACCACAACUUAUUUCUAACGUAUAGAGCAAUCCAUCACAUCAUGCAUGAGUGCACACACUAAACACUGCGAGUUACAGCACUCUUACCCCUCCUUGAUGGUUCCACGACCCAAUCUCGUCACUACUACCCAGUCCAGGCACUAUCAUUGUACUACUAGUCUCAAAAAUCCGCAGUACCAGUUGAAAGUAGCAGGAUAGUAUCUGCAACUUUAACAAACUAGCACUCUUAACGCACGAGCUGGAAACCUAAGCAACGGCAAGCACUGGUGCACGAGCAAGUAUAGUAACGCUGGAGAAGUUACCGUAGGGGAGAAGAGCGAAGGGAAGCCGAGGACAGCGGUGGGGCAGAGCCCCGGUGGCACGGCAAACGGUGAGGGAGGGGAAGGGCCGCCAGCAGGGGGUGCGGCUGGGGAGCCCAUGGCGCCGACAAGGAGCUGGGUGAAGGAGCCGUGGAAGGCCGAUGAGGGCAUGUCCUGGAAGAGCGCGGCGGUGAGGGUGAACGGGCCGGGGCUGGUCUCGGCGAAGGAGGCGGCGGUGGCACCAGAGGCGAAGAAGGAUUCGACGGCGGAGCGCGGGGGUAGCGAGAGCGCGGGGGUAGCGAGAGCGCGGCGCGCGUCCUCGCCGCCGCCGGCAGAGGCCUCUUGUGCCGCCAUGAGAAAGGAGAGAUGGUGGGCGGAGCACUUGGGGAGGGCCUUUUUGCGGGGUUUGUGGGGAACCAAAGAUACGGCGAGUCCACGGCUUGGGAGACGAGGGUGCAGACGGGGCGGGUAGUGAAAAUGGGACUCAGCUUAAGGUCCUGUCUCGAAUCAUCUAGAUUAUACUCCCUCCGCUUUCAAAAUAAAUGUAUACAAAUUUAUACUAAAGCUAGUACAAAGUUAAGACAGUUAUUUUAAGACAAAGGGGGUAUAAUUUAGUUUUUAUAAUCUAUUAUGUCUUCAAAUAGGACAGUUUAUGGUGUAGAUUAUAAAAACUUGAUGAACAGAUUAUUAGAAACUCAUAAUCUAUUCUACAACAGCUAAAAUCAGAUUAUGAAUUGCUAAUGACUCAUUACCCUUGUAAAGUUGAAGAUAAUUACAUUCUUACCACCGUCACCCUCCUCUUUUAAAUAAAAACAGAGGACGGAUAGGUCAUUAUACAAUAUAAAACCUGAAUUAUAGUUUAUAUAAUCUGGCCUCCAAACAUGUACACCUAAAUUAUUUUUAUAAAUCAAAUUAUAUAAUCUAUUUUCAUAAUUCAGAUUAUCAUAAUUUAUUCUAGUUCCAAACAGGGCCUUAACAAAGCCAAGUCCCAACGUAACUUACCCUUUUAUCAGUUAUCCACUAAAAAUCCGACCCACCAGAUUAAUUCAUAUUUCAAACUGAAAAAAUAAAAUGUUUAAAAAAAUUAAAAAUACUAAUGAAUAAUAAAAAAUGUUUUAUACCCUGGGAAUGUUUCAACCCACUUGGAUGUAUGAUUUGUAAUUAAAUAGCCGUUUGAGCUCAAACAUAUAAAAAUCUUUAUUCACAAAUGAUACAUUCAAAUGGAAAUUUUUGGUUUUUUCUGAACGCUUAAAAAUUUCACCAAAAACUGUAGGGAAAAACCCCACGGCCUUUUCCAUUUACUAAAAGAACAAACAGAUACACAAUAAAAUUACAAGGUUACAACUCCAAUGUAAAACAGAAAAGACUAACAUGUCCUAAUUGACCAAACCCCCUCACGGGGGCAAAUAAGACACCCACCUAAGAGCAUCUUCAAUAGCCGUCCAACGAGCGGCGCGCUAAAAAUAUGUUUGCAGCGUGUGGAUCGUCUGUUUUGGUGCGGCGGGGAGCGUUGGGACACGAAAUGAAUUUCAAACAUCAAAACAAAGAGAUGUCAUAAUUUAAAUCACACAAACAAAUUCAUGAUGACAUAAAAAGUCCAUGCCCACAACAUCAUCCAACCAAGUUCAAAAUCCGAACCAAGUUCAUGGCACAAAAGUUCACACCAACGAAUGGCCCAUCAACAAUCAAGCCCAUCCUCGUCUUCAUCUUCCUCUUCCUCUUCCUCCGAUUCAUCAUCCAAAGACGAUUCUUCCUCCUCCUCUUCAUUGUCGUGUGCGGUGUUGACAAGAUCUUCAACGACAUCAUGUGAAGGUGUGUGAGGCACACCGGAAGACAUUCCGCCCAUGCCGGCGCGGGCGUCCAUCGGGUCAAUUCGUCGACGACGGCGCGGGGCGGGGCGAAGGGUGGCGCGGCAGAGAGAGUGCGGCGCGAGCGCUCGAGUGUGCGGCGUGCGAAAGCGGGCGUACCAAAUACACAGUGCACGAUGGCGAUUCGGACCGCGCGUUGUACUCUAUAUGCCACGUGCGCGCUUAUUGCGUGUCCGCUGGAGCCCAAUUAUCGAUUGCGCGCGCGCUAAAAAGGACAAAUUUACGGCGCGACGCUUAUUUAGCACGGCUAUUGGAGAUGCUCUAAGAAGGUCUUUCUUGAACCUAGCCUUAAUUCUAUGAGCUAACAAAGACAUGUCCAGAACAAAGCGUGAUCUCCAAACACUAAAUCUUGGCCUAACAUGUGUGAUCACCUUAGCAUAUUGAACUAACCAGAUGUGCCACCAAGCAGUGAACACCACCUGAGAGAAGAAAGAUUUACCAAAAUCCCUCCUCGCAUGAACAGCUAUAUCAGACAUAUUAUCCCACGACCCCAUUCAAUCUUUCAAGUAAUUCCAAAUCCUUGUGUUGAAAGUGAAGGAGAAUGACCUAAGAAUGACGAAGAACAUAAUGGACUCCAUCAUCCAUGUGCCAGUGCCCAUUUUCCACCAUAUCCUUGGUGUUAAGUCUGUCCAUCACCAGCAUCCAAGCAAAAACCCUUGAUCUUCAAAGUACAACAGUUCGCCCAAAUCCAAUCCAAUAAAGGGUUAAAAGAGAUGAUUUGAUGAGCAUGUGUAUAGAACAUAUUUGAAGUGUAUUGCUUUAUAGACCCUUGCCAAAACCAGACAUCCAACUGACCAUCCUUGCGCUCUCUAUCAUUCAUCAUUGAACGCACCUUUUGUAAUUCCUCAAAGGCUUGGUUAGACAAGGGUAGAUUAAACCAUGCCAGCAAAUUCUCACAGUGGGACCACUCCUUAGCAGUAAGCCAUGGAUCUUUGGUGUAGUAAAAUAACCUUGGAAACCUAUCCCAUAGUGGCAGCACAAAAUCUCCAAUCUUCCAGUAACCGAUGGAUCUUUGGUGUAGGAAAAUAACCUUGGAAACCUAUCCUGAAGUGGCAGCACAGAAUCUUCAAUCUUCCAUUUGUCUUUCCAAAACAAAAUAGUGUCCCCCUCGUUAGCCUCCACCUAGAUAACUUCUCUGGUAUUGUCCAACAACUUCAAGAUGUUCUUCCACCAAAAAGAACUGCAUGGCUCAGUUGCCUCGGACACUCUUUCAUAAUAAUAUGUGUUCCAAAUCAGAUUGACCCAAGGCAAAUCAGCCAUGUGGAGGAAUUUGUUGACAUGUUUCGUUAGGCGGGCAACAUUUUGUAACCCAAGAUUCGGUAUAUUCAAACCUCCCUUAUUUUUGAGCAUGUAAAUUGAAUUUCAAACAGCCAAUGAGGGGGCCUGCUCAUGCUUGUUCUUCCUCCGAAACACUGCCUCUGAAUUCUCUCAAGGUGUUUCAGAAUGCCUGGAUGGAUUGAAAGGCCGCAAAGGGGAAAUUGCCAUGGAGAAAAGUGCAGAGUUGAGGUACUAUAGUCUUCCACCCCGAACAAGAAAAGAUGAACAAGUAGACAUCCUCCUCUCCAUACAAUUAACUAGGGGCAUGAGAUCUUCAAUUUUAGGUUUUGAUGUACCAACAAGCAUCCCUAAAUAGGUGAAAGGCAUUGUUCCAACCUUGCAACAAAAAACAUCAACAAGUCUCUCAGUUUAUGCUAGAGAUACAUUGAUUGGUACCAUAGAUGAUUUACGGUAACUAAUACCCAAACCAGUUGACUCACAGAAAACCAACAACAUUCUCUUUGAGCCAAUAAUUGUCCCUCCUUGGUAGGGACAAUGAUCGAAGUAUCAUCUGCAUAUUGUAUUAUAGGAUAAUCCUUGUCAUGGCAAGGAAUUGGCAAUUGAAUUUCUCCCCUAUUUAACAUGUCAUUAACCACUCUUUGCAAAAGAUCAACAAAAAUAGAAAGCAACAAAGGUGAAAUGUGAUCUCCUUGUCUGACACCUUUUUUACCCAAAAAUUGAUUGCCCGGAACUCCAUUCAGCGGAACAAAAGAUGUACCAGUGGACAAAAACUGCUUGACCCACAUCGUCCACUUACUGUUAAACCUUUAUGCCUUAAAACGUCCAGAAUAAAUUGAUGUUCAAUUGAAUCAAAGGCCUUCUCAAAGCCCAAUUUCAAAACAUGGAUGGGCCUUUUUGACUGGCGGCACUAAUGCAAAUACUCCAGAGUCCAACCAAUAUAGUUCUAAAUAGUCCUAGUCUUUAUAAACACAUAUUGGUUCUUGUGAACACAAAUGAUAAUUACCUCCUGGAAUCUGUUAGCUGCCAUUUUAGUAAGGAAUUUGAUACCCAUCCCGGUCAAAACGAUUGGCAUGUAAUCUCCAACAGAAUCAGGGGAUAGUUUUUAGGUACCAAAGUUAUAUAAGAACCAUUAAUGUUCUCCAACAUUUCCUUUCCUUCAUAAAAUUUCUCAACCAGAGAGUAAAAAUCCUUGCAAACAGUAUGCCAGCAUUUCCAAUAAACCAUCAGAUCCAGGGCCUUAUCAAUAGGCAUGGACUUAACAACCUCGUCCAUUUCCUCAUAAGUAAAGGAUUUAUUCAAUGCAUCCAGAUCAGGCACUUGAGAGAUUAAGACAUUAAGAUAAAAACCCAUGUUAAUUCCUCUUAAGGUUCCCAUUCUUGCCUUGAAAGAUGACCACAAAAUUCUUUCCAUUUGUCUAUGUUCUAAUACAACAGUUCCAUCUGACAAUUGCGGAUUAGCAAUGGAAUUCCUUAUAUAUCUUUCAAUUGCCAUGGCAUGGAAGAACUUAGUGUUCUCCUACCCCACCUUAAUAAAUCUAAUAGUGCAUCUCCUUUUCCAAUAUAAAUAUUGCAUAUUGAUACUUGUGAUAUGCAUUGGUUUUUUCACCGAUGAGGAGGGGAUGAUGCGACAAAGUAUAUGUAAGUAUUUCCCUCAGUGAUAACUAAGGUUAUCGAACCAAUAGGAGAACCACACAAUUUCUCGUCUUCAUCGCCUACACAUAAAAGAUCACACAUAUGCACCCGACGCAAGCAGGAGGGUUGUCAAUCCCCUUGAACUCAUUACUUGCAACCAAUAAGUAGUGUAGAUGGAUAGUUUGAUAAUAUAAAUAGAAAGUAAAUAAGAAAAACAAGGUAUUUUGGGUUUUUGUAAUUAUAUUUGUGAAUAGACCCUAGGGCCAUAGUUGUUGCUAGAGUCUUCUCUCUCGUAGAAAGCAUACGGUGGGUACACAAAUUACGGUUGGGCAAUUGAUAGAGAAGUGCAUAGUUAUGCAAUAUUUAUUCAUGGCAAUGAUCAUUACAUAUAGGCAUCACGUCCGUAAGCAAGUAGAUUGACUCCUUCUUGAAUCUACUACUAUUAUUCCAUCCAUCGACUGCUAUCCAGCACGCAUCUAGAGUAUUAAGUGAAAACAAAGUAGUGCUUGCAGGAUAAUGACAUGAUGUAGACAAAGUAAAUCCAAUUAGUAUGAAUGAACCCCAUUGUCUUACCCUUAGUGGUAGCAAUACAUUACAUGUCAUGUACCUUCCGUCACUGGAAUUGAGAACCGCAAGAUUGAACCCAUUACAGCACACCUCUCGUGCUCAAGAUAAAUAAGUCUAGUUGGCCAAAACAAAUCAAUAGAUCGGAGAGAAUUAUGAAACUAUCAUAAUCAUGCAUAUAUAUGUAAGACCAACAAGGAACUCAAUAUAAUCUCAUGAAUAAUCCAAACAUAAACCCACAAUUCAUUGGAUCCCAACAAACACACCACACAAGAGUGAUUACAUAAGAUAGACCACCACGGGAAUCGUGGUGAUCUUGGCAAUGAAGAACAUAGAGAGAGAGAGCCAUCUACGUACUAACUACAACCCAUAGGUCUGUGGUGAACCACUCACACAUCACCAUGGGAGCAGUAAGGUUGAUGUAGAGGCCCUCCGUGAUCGAUCCCCACUCCGACAAGGCACCGGAACAGGGCUCCGGAUGGGCACACGGUGGAACACAGACUUGCGGCGGAGGAAAAAGUGUUCCGGGAGUCUCUCUAGGGUUUUGGGGUUAUUAGAGAAUUUAUAGGCAAGAGAAGAGAGAUGGAGGGGUGGGAGGUUGCCCCAAGUCAUCAGGGUGCGACCCCCCCACCUCGGGCGCGACCCGUUGGCUUGGGGCGCCUAUUUUGCCCUCUGGUCUUCCUCUGAAGCUUCCAGGUCCUUAUUUUGUCCCAAAAAAUUAGACAAAAAGUUUCAUGGUAUUUGGACUUUGUUUGGUAUGGUAUUCCUGAAAAACCAAAAGCAUGCAGAAUGCAACAACUGGCACUUGGCACUGAGUUAAUAGGUUAGUGUUCAAAAAUAAUAUAAAUCAACAAGUAAAUGCUUAAAAAGUAUACUAGAAUGACAAUAAAAUAGCAUGGAACAAUCAAAAUUUAACACAAUCAUCAAUUUUCAGAAUAUAUGAUCCUUAAAGAAUGUUUACCCCCCCCCCAUUCAUUUUAGCAUACUAGCAUGGCAUGGCUCCGCCUUCACCACAUAAAUAUAAAUUUCAAGCACCAUAGUGUUAAGCCAAGCAAUUGUAUUGUACUUUUUUAACGCGCUUCAGCUUUUUAUACCUCAUGCAAUACAUGAGCAUGAACCAUGGACAUAAUAUAUAGGUGGAAUAGAAUAUGGUGGUAUGUUUCAAAUGGGUAAAAGUGGAUAAGAAAGUCUUGCAUCAACUAGGCGGAUCAACGGGCUAUGGAGAUGCCCAUCAGUCGAUAUCAAUGCGAGGAUUUGGGAAUGUUAGAAAUAUGCCCUAGAGGCAAUAAUAAAUUAGUUAUUAUUAUAUUUCCUUGUUCAUGAUAAUCAUUUAUUAUCCAUGUUGUCGUGGUUUUGUCACAACAGAUGUCCUCGUGAAAGGACUUAGUGAUGAGGCCAUCGCAACUACGUGGCGACUCAAAGGGGCUGAUCGAAAACGAGAGACGGGUUUACCCAGGUUCGGCCCCUCCGAUGGAGGUAAAAGCCUGCGUCUUGCUUUGUGUGUAUUGACGAUGAAAUCGAUUACAAGGGUGCGGAUUCGCCCGAUCUAGCUCCCGAUUGAUUGUAACUUAAGUCUACUGGCCUUAGGGACUCGUCUUUAUAUACAGGUCGAGACCGUAGGUUUACAAGAGUCCACGUCACAUUAUGAUUCGUGACCCGAUAUAUCUUUAACUCGUCUUAAUCCUCUAUCAAGGAAACUUCUGGCGACCUUCUACCUUGUGGGCUCACAGUCACCAUCUUCGUGUCCUGGGCCACCACCGGCCCCCUUGGUAAACCGCCUUGCGCCUCUAGUCUUGUAUGUCAAGGCCCAUCUUGAGUAUGAACAUUGAGCCACCAUAAUCUUGACCCAGCCUCAUAGGGCGGGUCAUACGGUGGGAUAAUAUCCCCAACAUUAGGCCCCAAAUUGACUUGAAUUUAUUAGCGUCAAUAGUCUUUACUUUAAUCUUGGCGGCUCAUGUGAAAUUCAGGUCUUUUCUUCCGAGGUAGAAAUGCCGGCUUCAAAUAUCUUCAUAAGGUCUUGCCCUGUUUACCAAUGACGUCACCCGCCCCAAAAUUCUAAAGACUUAAUGAUGUCAUUGUAACGGCUCCUUUGACUUAUUAGUUUAGCCCGAAAAUCGAGGCGCCCUUGGCUCUGAAAUUUACUGCGCCGCCUGGAUUCCCGCGCCUGUCGUUUGCACUUCACCACCUGGCCUUUAAAUACCCACGAGGGCCCCUUUUACUUUUUACCUUGCCCCCCCCACUUCUUCUUCUUGCUCCAGCUCGGACCUUCACUACGACUCCGCCGUCGCAUCCUCCAUCAUCGAUCGAUCAGGUCCUGGAACGUCGCGUUGCGCGACUUGACCUCCGUACUAUGGGUCUUCUCUGCCACCAUCAGUGUUGUCGGGUAAGUUCCUUUCUCCUCCCAGAUCUGCCUGUCAACCCAUUGUAGUUCAAUAGAGUUCGUCGGAGUUCCUCCCGUGUUCGUUGCCAUUGCCGACCUACUUGGUCCUACAAUGGAUAUUUUUCCAUCGUUAGAUUGCAGUAGAUAUAGUGAUUUGGUCCCUUGCACAACACCAACUAGAUGCUUUGUGAGAUUUGCCAACUAACGAAUUGCCACUGCUUCCAUACCUCGCUCUCAUCCAGGGUUACUAAAUUCUUCCCUUCUUGAACCAUUGUUAAAUCCAUAUUUUUAGGCAAUUUGGUGGAAACCUGUUUGUCCCACACUUAGUAAAAAAAAUCUGAAAUCUUUAUCCCUUUGCAAUGCGCAUUCACUUUAUACCGGCUUCCUUGAUAAGAUUGUAAUUCACUAGCUUUGUAAGUCGCCUAUUUUCUUUAAAUGGCGACUCAAGUUAGGGCGUCUUGAACAUUGUAAAUUGAUCUGUUACUUCUUUCUUGAGUCCCUUGCUUUUCAAGCAAUCUAUUCAUCAUUUGGAUAAUCCGCCAAACACAUCUCUGCAACUCUUUUUCCUCCUGGAUCCACUAUCAUGUCAAAAUCUUCCACAUGCGACUGGCUACCUUCGAAGAUUUCUGAAGCCGCGCUCCAGCAGUGCAUGAACUUAGGAGUCUUGUCACCUGAGGAAGAGAUCAUAUGGUGAGACGCCGUUGGGGAAGUGUGUCCACGACCCGACGGAUGGGAAGUAGUUGUUUUCGCUGAUCACCUUGAACGAGGCUUUACACCCCCGGGUCAAAAUUCUUUCAAGAUGCCUUGCACUUCUACAAUCUUCAUCCUCAAGACUUGGGCCCCAAUUCGAUCAGCAACUUAUGACAAUUUCAAGUUUUUUGUGAGGUAUACUUGGGAAUAGAGCCCAUGGUUCUUUUAUUCAGGGAAUUCUUCUACCUAAACCGCCAGACAGAAUUUGCUGAUGGGCCCAUCUUGGAACAUGGCGGGGUAACAAUUCAGAGGCGAAGAGAGCGUGGUUUUCCUGCUACCGCCUUGCCUAGCCACCCCAAAGGUUGGGGGAAACUUGGUUUUACUGCAAGAGUACUGCACCCGGCAACGUGAACCCCGUGUCGGCUUUUAGAGAAGAAUGCCUUCCGAUGGGUUUUGAACUUCCCGACUCACUAACUUCACAAGAGCGUGCUACCAUUGCCUUUGUAUGGCUGAAGCUCAUAGCCUUGACAGCCAACGGUUUAACCGGGAUUGAUCUGACCCGGUGCUGGGUAGAUUGGCGGAUCAUGCCCCUGAGUCAUCGUGGGGCCUUGAUGUGCGAGUAUGAUGGCGGCUUAAACAAUGCGCAAUGAUUCACCAACGUCAUGUUGGAUUCAGAUGAAGUCAACAAAAUUGCAAAGAGACUAUCAAGCGUGCCAAAAGAGGUUUGUUGCAAAAUUGGACUAAAGCCAUUAUGUACUCAGAACCCGGCUCCUGAGGUAAAUAACCUUAUCCGUCUUCCGCCUUCUUAUGAUUUUUCCUUUUAUUGAAUUAAAACUUGCCUCCUUGUCAAUAUUGUUGCAGAAAAACUCACCCUUCUGGAGGCGGAAACAACCAAAAACAGUUGUCAAGAAAGUCAAAACCGCCCCAAAAAGGAAGAAGACCAAGGCGGCUAUAGACGAGUCAUCUCCUAUGGGCGAGUCACAAACCAUCGAUGACCAAUCUGAGGUAAACGUUUAUCUUCCCCCUGUCUUUAACGUGUGCUUUACUAAUUACUUGUUCAAUCUCAGGAUGAUGAUACUGAUGAUCAGGAUGAAGAUGUUGAGGUAAUUUCAAUCUCUUUGACUCAGACCUUUCCUUCGCCAGGCCACCAAGGUGGGUUGUUAGGAAAAUUCCUUUGUCUCACCCGGAAGCUCAUUGGGCUCCCGAUUUCCUUUUGAAGAAGACUUUAUUUGCACCAAGGCGCCAAACUCGAAGCUCUUCAGGUGAUCUUGCAACGGGUUUACCUGAGAAAUCCUCCACUCGUAAACGACGGAAAGAGGUACUUGAUAAAUUCCCCUUUUCUUUUAAAGCUAAUGUCAUUCAACGACCUCUUGAAUCUUUUGACUCAACUUAUCAGGAAUCGCCACCUUCAUCGGGCGGCUUAACUGCAUCAAAGGCGCCACCUCUUGUUUUCCUUCGAGGGUAACUUUUGUUUUUAUGUCUAAUACUUGUCUAAUACUUUUAGUCCGUUGUAUAUGUCCUAAUCUUUAUCCUUCAGGGCUAAGGCUAAGAAGUGGAAGGCUGGCGGGUCAUCAAAUAAUCCUGAAACACCUGAACAAGAGGAAUUGGAAUUUACUGUUCCCGAGACUCACGUUGAGUCGGCUGACACACGUGCAGAGGUUCCUGAAACUCAUCAAGACACCAUUGAUGAUCUUCCUGAUAUUCAUGUUGAGCCGGCGAACGCUGAUGACAUGGCCGGAGAGAUAAGUCCGAAGGCCAAUCUUAACUCGUCGAGUCCUCCAAAAACAACCAAAGAUGCUAUGUCUGAUGAGGAGAGAGUUGUCAUUACUAGGACAGGUUACACAACACGUGUCUCCACUGGGUUGGCCGAGCACACUAUCAAAAGUGCAACACCUGAAGUGGAGAAAGGGAAAGCUAAACUUGAGCUUCCCAACAUUGAAAAUCUCGAUUUUGAAGAACUGCAUGCUGGAUAUCUGAGUCGCCUCUCCAUCAGCCGAGAUAUGGAGACCCGCCUGGUCCAUAUGAUGAAGAAAAUAUAUGAGGUAUGUUGUACUUCAAUAACGCACUCCAUAUAUCCUUACGUAGCCCCCAAGGGUCGGGUCAUCUUCUUGAAGAUUAGCCAGGUCUUGAUGAAACUGUUCAGAAUCAUCCUAUAGUGUUGGAAAUAUGCCCUAGAGGCAAUAAUAAAUUAGUUAUUAUUAUACUUAUUUGUUCAUGAUAAUCGUUUAUUAUCCAUGCUAUAAUUGUAUUGAUUGGAAAGACAAACACAUGUGUGGAUACAUAGACAAAACACUGUCCCGAGUAAGCCUCUAGUUGACUAGCUCGUUGAUCAAAGAUGGUCAAGGUUUCCUGACCAUAGACAAGUGUUGCAACUUGAUAACGGGAUCACAUCAUUAGGAGAAUCAUGUGAUCGAGAAGACCCAAACUAUGAACGUAGCAUGUGAUCGUGUCAUUUUAUUGCUAUUGUUUUCUGCGUGUCAAGUAUUCAUUCCUAUGACCAUGAGAUCAUGUAACACACUGACACCGGAGGAAUACCUUGUGUGUAUCAAACGUCACAACGUAACUGGGUGACUAUAAAGGUGCUCUACAUGUAUCUCCAAAGGUGUCCGUUCAGUUAGCAUGGAUCAAGACUGGGAUUUGUCACUCCGUGUGACGGAGAGGUAUCUCGGGGCCCACUCGGUAAUACAACAUCACACACAAGCCUUGCAAGCAAUGUGACUCAAGUGUGAGUCACGGGAUCUUGUAUUACAAAACGAGUAAAGCGACUUGCCGGUAACGAGAUUAAAAUAGGUAUAGGGAUACCAACGAUCAAAUCUCGGGCAAGUAACAUACCGAAGGACAAAGGGAAUGAUAUACGGGAUUAUAUGAAUCAUUGGCACAGAGGUUCAACCGAUAAGAUCUUCGUAGAAUAUGUAGGAUCCAAUAUGGGCAUCCAGAUUCCGCUAUUGGAUAUUGAUCGAGAAGUGUCUCGGGUCAUGUCUGCAUAGUUCUUGAACCCGCAGGGUCUGCACACUUAAGGUUCGAUGAUGUUUUAGUAUAGUUGAGUUACAUGUGUUGGUGACCGAAGGUUGUUCGGAGUCCCGGAUGAGAUCACGGACGUCAGAGUGUUUCCGGAAUGGUUGGGAAAUGAAGAUUGAUAUAUAGGAAGUUGGUGUUUGGAUUCCGGAAAGUUUUCGGGCAUUACCAACAAUGUACCGGGAGUGACGAAUGGGUUCCGGGGGCCCACUGGGUGGUCCCACCACACCGCAAGGGGUCCACGUGGGUUUAUUGGAUGCACAAUAAGGUAUAAUGGUCUCACAAAGUCAUCCAAUGAAAUCCCAUGACGAAAUACUGGAAAAUCCAAAAGAGGUGGGAAAAUAAGGAAGGAGUCCUAAUCCAAGUGGGAUUGGAGAAGGACUCCUCCCUUCCCCAAGUCGGCCGACCCAAGGAGGCCUUCUUGGCCGACGCCUUAAGGGCUUUGCUCACCCCUUGGCUCCUCCUAUAUAUACUUGAGGUUUAGGGCUGUUUGAGACACAAUUUUGCCACGUGCAACUCAAACCUACACCUCGUAGUUCUUCCUCUAGAUUAGAUUUCUGCGAAGCUCGGGCGGAGCCCUGCAGGAACAAAUCAUCACCAACACCGGCGCACCGUCACGCUAUCGGAUAACUCAUCUACUUCUCCGUCUCUCUUGCUGGAUCAAGAAGGCCGAGAUCGUCAUCGAGUUCUACGUGUGCUGAACGCGGAGGUGCCGUCCGUUCGACACUAGAUUAGAACGGAUCGCGGGAUGGAUCGCGAGACGGUUCGUGGGAUGGAUCGUGGGACGGUUCGAGGGACAGAUCCUGAAGACGUACCACUACAUCAACCACGUUUCUUAACGCUUCCCGAUGAGCAUCUACAAGGGUAUGUGGAUCUAAUCUCCUCUCGUAGAUGGACAUCACCAUGAUAGGUCUUCGUGUGCGUAGGAAUUUUUUUUGUUUCCCAUGCAACGUUCCCCAAGAGUGGCAUCAUGAGCUAGGUUCAUGCGUAGAUGUUAUAUCGAGUAGAACACAAAAGGUUUUGUGGGCGGUGAUGUUUGAUUUCCUACCCUCCUUAGUAUUUUCUCGAUUCGGCGGUAUUGUUGGAUUGAAGUCACCCGGACUGACAUAACUCGUACGCUUACGAGAGACUGGUUUCAUCGAUUAACAUGCAACGUCAUUGCAUAAAGAUGACUGGCGGGUGCCUGUUUCCUCAACUUUAGUUGAAUUGGUUUUGACCAAGGCGGUCCUUGGAGAGAGGUUAAAUAGCAAUUUGCACAUCUCCGUUGUGGUUUUUGCGUAAGUAAGAUGCGUUCAUACUAGAUACCCAUAGCAGCCACGUAAAACUUGCAACAACAAAUUAGAGGACGUCUAACUUGUUUUUGCAGGGUAUGCUUGUGAUAUUAUAUGGCCAAUGACAUGAUGUGAUAUAUUGGAUGUAUGAGAUGAUCAUGUUGUAAUAGUUAAUAUCGACUUGCACGCCGAUGCUACGGCAACCGGCAGGAGCCAUAGGGUUGUCUUUAAACUAACGUUUGUGUUUGCAGAUGCGUUUACUAUAUUGCUAGGUCGUAGCUUUAGUAGUAAUAGCAUAGAUAGCAUGACAACCUCGAUGGCGACACGUUGAUGGAGAUCAUGGUGUGGAGCCGGUGACAAGAAGAUCAUGCCGGUGCUUUGGUGAUGGAGAUCAAGAAGCACAAGAUGAUGGCCAUAUCAUGUCACUUAUGAAUUGCAUGUGAUGUUAAUCCUUUUAUGCACCUUAUUUUGCUUAGAAUGACGGUAGCAUUAUAAGGUGAUCUCUCACUAAAAUUUCAAGAUGAAAUUGUGUUCUCCCUGACUGUGCACCAUUGCAACAGUUCGUCGUUUCGAGACACCAUGUGAUGAUCGGGUGUGAUAGACUCAACGUUCACAUACAAAGGGUGCAAAACAGUUGCACACGUGGAACACUCGGGUUAAACUUGACGAGCCUAGCAUGUGCAGACAUGGCCUCGGAACACAUGAGACCAAAAGGUCGAGCAUGAAUUGUAUAGUUGAUAUGAUUAGCAUAGAGAUGCUUACCACUGAAACUAUUCUCAACUCACGUGAUGAUCGGACUUGAGUUAGUGAAUUUGGAUCAUGUACCACUCAAAUGACUACAGAGAUGUACUUUUUGAGUGGGAGUUUAUCAGUAAUUUGAUUAGUUAAACUCUAAUUAUCAGGAACAUAGUAAAAAGGUCUUUGUGAAUUAUGAUGUAGCUUGCGCUAUAGCUCUAUUUUUUUAUAUGUUCCUAGAGAAAAUUUAGUUGAAAGUUGAUAGUAGCAACUUUGCGGACUGAGUCCGUAAAAUUGAGGAUUGUCCUCAUUGCUGCGGAGAAGGCUUAUGUCCUUAAUGCACCACUCGGUGUGCUGCACCUCGAGCGUCGUCUGUGGAUGUUGCAAACAUCUGACAUACACGUUUUUUAUCACUACGUGAUAGUUCAGUGUGUAAUACUUCAUGGCUUAGAAAGCAAGGCGCCGAAGACGUUUUGAAACGUCAUGAAACAUAAGAGAUGUUCUAAGAGAUGAAAUUGAGAUUUCAUUCUCGUGCCCUUGUUGAGAGGUAUGAGACCUCCGACAAGAUUCUUUGGCUACAAUGUAAAGGAGAAAAGCUCAAUCAUUGAGCAUGUUCUCAGAUUGUCUGAGUACAACAAUCGCUUGAAUCAAGUGGGAGUUAAUCUUCCAGAUGAGAUAGUGAUGGUUCUCCAAAGUCACUGCCACUAAGCUGCUAGAGCUUCGUGAUGACCUAUAACAUAUCAAGGAUAGAUAUGAUGAUCCUUGAGCGAUUCGCAAUGUUUGACACUACAAAAGUAGAAAUCAAGAAGGAGCAUCAAUUGUUGAUGGUUAGUAAACCCACUAGUUUCAAGAAAGGCAAGGGCUAGAAGGGAUACUUCAUGAAACAGGCAAACCAGUUGCUGCUCUAAUGAAGAAACCCAAGAUUGAACCCAAACCCAAGACUAAGUGCUUCUGUUAUGAGGGGAACGGUCACUGAGGCGGAGCUACCCUACAUACUUGGUAGAUAAGAAGGCUGACAAAGUCGACAAAAGUAUAUUUGAUAUACAUGAUAUUGAUGUGUACUUUACUAGUACUCCUAGUAGCACAAGGGUAUUGGAUACCGUUUCGGUUGCUAAGUGAUUAGUAACUCAAAAUGAAAGCUACGGAAUAAACGGAAACUAGCUAAAGGCGAGGUGACGAUAUGUGUUGGAAGUGUUUCCAAGGUUGUUGUGAUCAAAACAUCGCACGCUCCCUCUACCAUCGGGAUUGGUGUUAAACCUAAAUAAUUGUUAUUUGGUGUUUGCAUUGAGCAUGAACAUGAUUGGAUCAUGUUUAUUGCAAUACGAUUAUUCAUUUAAAGAGAAUAAUAGUUAUUCUAUUUGCUUGAAUAAUUACCUUCAAUGGUUUAUUGAAUCUCGAUCGUAGUGCUACACAUGUUCAUAAUAUUGGUGCCAAAAGAUACAAAGUAAUAGUGAUAGUACCACUUACUUGUGGCACUAUCACUUGAGUCAUGACAGUAUAAAAUGCAUGAAGAAGCUCCAUGCACAUGGAUCUUUGUACUCACUCAUUUUUGAAAAGUUUGAGACAUGCAAACCAUACCUGUUGGUAUAAACGCAUGAAGAAACUCCAUGCGGAUGGAUCAUUUGGAUUCACUUGAUUUUGAAUCACUUGAGACAUGCAGAAUCAUACCACAUGGAACAAGAAAGUAGCUUGUUGGAAGUGAUACAUUUUUUAUGAGUGCAGUCCAAAUGAGUGGCGAGGCACGCAGUGGAUAUCGUUAUGUUCUUACUUCACUGACGAUUUGAGUAGAUACAGGAGUAUUUACUUGAUGAAUCACAAGUCUAAAAUAUUUAAAAGUUCAAAGCUAUUUUAGAGUGAAGAUCAUCGUGACAAGAGGAUAAACUGUCUACGAUAUGAUCAUAGAGAUAAGUAUCUGAGUUACGAGUUUUUGGUAGACAGUUAAGACAAAUGUGGAAAUUGUUUCACAAUUCAUGCCACCUAGAACACCAUAGUGUGAUGGUGUGUCCGAACGUCAUAGCCACGCCCUAUUUGAUAUGGUGCAUACUAUGAUGUCUCUUAUCGAAUUACCACUAUCGUUUAUGGGUUAUGCAUUAGAGACAACCGCAUUCACUUUAAAUAGGGCACCACAUAUUUCCGUUGAGAUGACACAAUAUGAACUAUGGUUUGGAGAAACCUGAGCUGUUGUUUCUUGAAAGUUUGAGGCUGCGACGCUUAUGUGAAAAGUUUCAGUCUGAUAAGCUCAAACCCAAAGCGGAUAAAUGUAUCUUCAUAGGAUAUUCAAAAAAGUUGGGUACAUCUCCUAUCUCAGAUCCGGAAGCAAAGUGUUUGUUUCUAGAAACGGGUCCUUUCUUGAGGAAAGGUUUCUCUCGAAAGAAUUGAGUGGGAGAAUGGUGGAACUUGAUGAGGUUAUUGAACCGUCACUUCAACCAGUGUGUAGCAGGGCGCAGGAAGUUGUUCCUCUGGCGCCUACACCAAUUGAAGUGGAAACUGAUGAUGGUGAUCAUUAAGCUUCAGGAUCAAGUUACUACAAACCUCAUAGGUCGACAAGGUCGUGUGCUACUACACAGUGGUACGGAAACCCUCUCUUGGAGGUCAUGUUGUUGAACAACAAUGAACCUAUGAGCUAUGGAUAAGCGCUGGUGGGCCCGGAUUCCGACAAAUGGCUAGAGGCCAUGAAAUCCGAGAGAGGAUCCAUGUAUGAAAACAAAGUGUAGACUUUGGAAGAACUACUUGAUGGUCGUAGGACUGUUAAGUAAAGAUGGAUCUUUAAAAGGAAGACAGACGAUGAUGGUGAAAAGUCACCGUUAAGAAAAGCUCAACUUAUCGCAAAGAUGUUUCCGACGUACAAGUUCAAAGAGUUGACUAUGAUGAGACUUUCUCACUCGUAGCGAUGCUAAAAAUCUGUUGGAAUUAUGUUAGCAGUUGCUGCAUUAUUUAUGAAAUAUUGCACAUAGGAUGUCAAAACAUUGUUUCCUCCACGGUUUUCUUGAGAAAAGGUUGUAUGUGAUAUAACCAGAAGGUUUUGUCAAUCCUAAAGAUGCUAACAAGUAUGCAAGCUCCAACGAUCCUUCUAUGGACUGGUGCAAGUAUCUCGGAGUUGGAAUAUACACUUUGAUGAGAUGGUCAAGCUUUUGGGUUUAUACAAGGUUUAUGAGAAACUUGUAUUUCCAAAGAGGUGAGUGGGAGCACUAUAGAAUUUCUGAUAAGUACAUGUGGUUGACAUAUUGUAGAACGGAAGUAAUGUAGAAUUUAUGUGAAGCAUAAAGGGUUGUUUGAAAGGAGUUUUUCAAAGGAAAACCUGGAUAAAGCUACUUGAACAUUGAGCAUCAAGAUCUAUAGAGAUAGAUCAAAACACUUAAUAGAACUUCAAUGAAAUACAUGCCUUGACAAGUUUUUUAAGGAGUUCAAAAUAGAUCAACAAAGAAGGAGUUCUUGGCUGUGUUGUAAGGUGUGAAUUUGAGUAAGACUCAAAGCCCGACCACGACAGAAGAAAGAGAAAGGACGAAGGUCGUCCCCUAUGCCUUAGCCAUAGGCUCUAAAGUAUGCCAAGCUGUGUACCGCACCUGAUGUGUGCCUUGCCAUGAGUCUGUCAAGGGGUACAAAAGGUGAUCCAGGAUUGAAACACUAAAACAUCGAUCAAAGUUAUCCUUAGUAACUAGUGGACCAAGGAAUUUUUCUCGAUUAUGGAGGUGAUUAAAGUGUUCGUCGUAAAGGGUUACGUCGAUGCAAGCUUUGACACUAAUCCAAAUAACUCUGAGUAGUAAAACGGAUUUGUAUAGUAGAGUAGAUAUUUGGAGUAUUUCCGAAUAGCACGUAGUAGCAGCAUCUAUAGGAUGACAUAAAGAUUUGUAAAGCACACACGGAUCUGAAAGGUUCAGAACCAUAGACUAAAACCUCUCUCACAAGCAAGACGUGAUCAAACCCCAAAACUGUAUGGGUGCUGGAUUCGUUAAAAUCACAUGGUGAUGUGAACUAGAUUAUUGACUCUAGUGCAAGUGGGACACUGUUGGAAAUAUGCCCUAGAGGCAAUUAUAAAAUAGUUAUUAUUAUAUUUCUUUGUUCAUGAUAAUCGUUUAUUAUCCAUGCUAUAGUUGUAUUGAUUGGAAACACAAAUACAUGUGUGGAUACAUAGACAAAACAUUGUCCCUAGUAAGCCUCUAGUUGACUAGCUCGUUUAUCAAAGAUGGUCAAGGUUUCCUGACCAUAGACAAGUGUUGUCACUUGAUAAUGGAUCACAUCAUUAGGAGAAUCAUGUGAUUGACAAGACCCAAACUAUGAACGUAGCAUGUGAUUGUGUCAUUUUAUUGCUACUGUUUUCUGCGUGUCAAGUAUUCAUUCCUAUGACCAUGAGAUCAUGUAACUCACUGACACCGGAGGAAUACCCUGUGUGUAUCAAACGUCACAACGUAACUGGGUGACUAUAAAGGUGCUCUACAGGUAUCUCCAAAGGUGUCCGUUGAGUUAGCAUGGAUCAAGACUGGGAUUUGUCACUCCGUGUGACGGAGAGGUAUCUCGGGGCCCACUCGGUUAUACAACAUCACACACAAGCCUUGCAAGCAAUGUGACUCAAGUGUGAGUCACGGGAUCUUGUAUUACAAAAGGAGUAAAGAGACUUUCCGGUAACGAGAUUAAAGUAGGUAUAGGGAUACCCACGAUCAAAUCGCGGGCAAGUAACAUACCGAAGGACAAAGGGAAUGAUAUACAGGAUUAUAUGAAUCCUUGGCACAAAGGUUCAACCAAUAAGAUCUUCGUAGAAUAUGUAGGAUCCAACAUGGGCAUCCAGGUCCCGCUAUUGGAUAUUGAUCGAGAAGUGUCUCAGGUCAUGUCUGCAUAGUUCUCGAACCCGCACGGUCUGCACACUUAAGGUUCGAUGAUGUUUUAGUAUAGUUGAGUUACAUGUGUUGGUGAACGAAGGUUGUCCGGAGUCCCGGAUGAGAUCACGUACAUCACGAGGGUUUCCAGAAUGGUCCGGAAACGAAGAUUGGUAUAUAGGAAGUUUGUGUUAGGAUUCCUGAAAGUUUUUGGGCAUUACCGGCAAUGUACCGGGAGUGACGAAUGGGUUCCGGGGGCCCACUGGGUGGGCCCACCAUGCCCCAAGGGGUCCACGUGGGUUUAUUGGAUGCACAAUAGGUAUAAUGGGCUGACAAAGUCAUCCAAGGAAAGCCCAUGAGGAAAAAGUGGAAAAUCCAGAAGAGGUGGGAAAACAAGGAAGGAGUCCUAAUCCAAGUGGGAUUGGAGGACUCCUCCCUUCCCCAAGUCGGCCGACCCAAGCAGGCCUUCUUGGCUGGCGCCCUAAGGGAUUGCCCCACGCCUUGGCUCCUCGUAUAUAUACUUGAGGUUUAGGGCUGUUUGAGACACAACUUUGCCACAUGCAACUCAAACCUACGCCUCGUAGUUCUUCCUCCAGAUUAGAUUUCUGCGGAGCUCGGGCGGAGCCCUACAGGAAGAUAUCAUCACCAACACCGGCGCGCCGUUACGCUGCCGGAGAACUCAUCUACUUCUCCGUCUCUCUUGCUGGAUCAAGAAGGCCGAGAUCGUCAUCAAGUUGUACGUGUGCCGAACGCGGAGGUGCCGUCCGUUCGGCACUAGAUCGGAACGGAUCGUGGGAUGGAUCGCGAGACGGUUCAUGGGAUGGUUUGAGGGACGGAUCGUGAAGAUAUACCACUACAUCAACUGCGUUUCUUAACGCUUCCCGCUGAGCGAUCUACAAGGGUAUGUAGAUCUAAUCUCCUCUCAUAGAUGUACAUCACCAUGAUAGGUCUUCGUGUGCGUAGGAAUUUUUUUGUUUCCCAUGCAACGUUCCCCAACAUGUAGCCCCCAAGGGUCGGGUCAUCUUCUGAAAGAUGAUUCGGGUCCUGUUAAUACUUACUUAAAAAACUUUGACUUGUAUCCCCCAAGGGCCGGGUCAUCUUCUUGAAGAUGUGUCGGGUCUUGUUAAUACGUAACUGAAAAACUUCGACAUGUAGCCCCAAAGGGCCGGGUCAUCUUCUUGAAGAUGAGCCGGGUCUUGACUUAUACGUUGAAAACUGACAUGCAUUAGCCCCUAGUUGUCAAGUAUAUUGCUUGCAAUCUGCUUGAGACUUGAUAGUAAUCUUCUAUGCCAGUGUAAAAAAUCUUGUGUAAGCUGUGUUGGCGACUCAGCUUUGAACUAAUCAUCCAACUGGUCUUUGAUUGUAUAGGAAACUUUGAACCAUGCCGAUGCAAGCUUGAGUGGUAUGAAGAAAAAUAUGGCACAACAACAAGACGCCAGAGCUCAAGCUGAGGAGAAACUUUGGAUCUCCUUGGUAGAAAUUGAAAAACUCAAAGCUAAGUACACAUUAUAUAAAGAGGCGACCGAAGCUGACAAAGCCACCUUGCUGAAAUGAGCUGAAGACACCGAGGGUUAGAUGAAGCUGGUUACUGAAGAAGUAACUGGUCUGAAACGACAUAUCACCAAGAUGGCCAAUGUUGUGUUUGGUGAGUAUUUGUACGUAAGACUUUCAUUUGCAGUCUUUGUAGAAAAAACAUGACCCGUCGGGCGACUUAUACUCCUUUAAUUCUUGUUGCAGGCUCUCGAUCUGCCAACCUUCAAGACAACCGUGUACUGAAGGUGAAGGCUUUGUACACCUUAACAGAGCAACUUUAUGCUGGCGGUUUGUUCACCAUCAAGGCUGUUAUGGGGGACAAAGAACUGGUGGAGUUCAUCAGUGACAUGCUGAGGCGUCUCUCAACAAUGCCUAAGCAGAUUGAAGAGUUGAAGAAAUCAGUUACUCAUAAAGGGGUAAUCACUGUGUUGAGUCAGGCUCUGCUUAUGCACCAGAACUCAACCUGGCGGAGAUAGUGGCAUUUUUCCUGAAUAUAAGAAAGAUGGAUCAGAGUUCACUCAGGAAGACUAUGCCCGUUGCAUGAGGGCGGCUCGUCUACCGGCUAGUCAGCUUGCUGAAGGUGUUGAUCUAACGAAAUAUCAAGCGGCUUAUGAUGAGAACAACAAGCAUGUGCCGCCUCCCACAUUUGAACCAGUGGGCCUUACUCCUCAGCGUCGUAAGCACCUUUUUGCCCCUGAUGGUGACACGUCGCCCAUCUUGAAUGAAGAAGCUGAAUUCCACGCUUUAAUCCAUUGCAACUGGGAUAUGGGCGACCUCCAGAUCCAGGAUCCUGAAGGCUUGGCACAUGAUAACCCGGAGGCGUCUUGAUCAAGGUGUCUGCCCAAGACUGACCCGGAAGAUUCUAACCUAGAGGAACCGUCCACCGGGUUGAUAUAUUGAAAAAUGUUGGCCUUUUGCAGCCAUGUAAUACCUUUAGAUGUAAAGACUCCUAUUUUGUGUCAUGCCUUCGUGCAUGCUGAAGCUUUUUGCAUUACUUUAUUAUAAGCCGCCUUUCCGAAAUUUAUCAUAUUGCAAUUUGAUUUUUCCUUUGUGAGGCAAUGACUUCAUAACCAAAAUGCUUUUCAUAAACCGGUAAGAAUAUUGAGUCCUUCCCUGAAAAAGAUAACACAAUAUAGGGCAUCAAAUUAUUUUUAAUAAGCCGGCUCAAUGAGUCAUGGCAGGUAGACGGGCUUGCAAGGCUCUAGCCAUACCCUAAGAUAGGUUUGUGCAAUAACCUUUAUAAUUUAUACUAGCGGAUCAGGCUCAAGUAGUCUUCAAUGAUGCAGGUUUCAUGAACCCAUGGUUUAUCUAUUUUCCAUAUGUCGGCUCUCACACGACGCCUCAAUGCUUUAACUUUAACAAGGUCAUGGUCCAUAAUGGAUUGACUCGCCAAGAGUACACAUGGCCAAUAAGGGGAGUCGCAAAGGCAUACAAUCCAGUAUAACAAUUGUAAAGCGGUAUUUUUUCGCAAGCCAGGAGGGUGAGAAAACUGAACUCAAUGAGUUGGAAGCCCCCAAGUGACCUAUGAUCAGGGAAAAGCCAAGCAUAGGAUUGCAGAAGACAAUGCUAUUACUACUAAACAACCUGGGGACUAAUAGCCCCUGGGUAAGCCGACUUGAUUCUCCGGACCACAAUUGGCGCCUAUGUUUGAAUCAUGCAUCGUGGCAACUGGUCCUCUUUAUCAGCAUCUAUGUUUGAACGAUCGCAACAUGGCGGCUCAUCCUCUUUGAUACUAAUAGCGUCCAUGUUUGAAUGACCUCCUUACGGUGGCUCAUCCUCUUGGGCGGCUUUAGAAAAUAAAACAAUAAAGUCUCAUGCUCAUUAUGUAGGCUAAAACGGCAGAAACCACGAAUUUCGUGGGUGCCGCCUUUGUUGUCUUGAUAAAAAUAGUACAAAAUUCUGAACUAUGUACAUGAAUAAGGAGCCAAUGGCUCUAAGUAUAGUAAGGCCGAAGGUGGGCGAUGUUCCACGGUCGGGUCGUCUCCUCCUCCAAAGUUGGCUUAUCUGAACGAAGGUCUAUGAAAUAGUAGGAGCUGUUAUGAAGACUUUUACUGAUGACGAAAGGACCUUCCAUGGAGGUGAUAGCUUGUGCAUGCCUGUGUGAUCCUCAAUCAAUCGAAGCACUAAGUCGCCCUCCUGGAAAAUCCGGCUCUCAACCCUACGGCUGUGAUAGCGGCAUAAGUCUUGUUGAUAUAUAGCUGACUGUGGUGCAGCCAAAUCACACUCUUCCUCCAAGGCAUCCAAGGAAUCCUGACAUGCCUGCUUGUUGUCUGCUUCCACAUAAGCGGUGAUUUGAGGAGAAUCAUGCCGUAUGUCACUUGGUAAAACCGCAUCGGCUCCAUAAACGAGGAAAAAGGGCAUGCAACCAGUGGAUUUGCUUGGCGUAGUCCUGGUACUCCAAAACACCGCGGGGAGCUCCUCAACCCAACAACCUAGAGUGCGUUGUAAAGGAACCAUAAGUUGGGGCUUGAUCCCACGCAAAAUCUCCUGAUUAGAUCGCUCAGCCUGACCAUUGGACUGCGGAUGUGCUACCGCGGAUACAUCAAGCCGGAUAUGCUCUCACUGGCAAAACUGCUUCAUGGCGCCUUUGGAUAGAUUGGUACCAUUAUCAGUAAUAACACUGUGAGGAUAACCAAAAUGAAAGAUCUUGAUUGUUGUCUCUGCUUCGCAAUUGCUGACCGGCUUCGCCUCAACCCACUUGGUAAACUUGUCAACCGCCACCAAUAGAUGAGUCUUUUUGUCGGAAGACAUCUUGAACGAGCCAACCAUAUCAAGCCCCCAGACCACAAAAGGCCACGUGAUCGGGAUCAUGCGCAAUUCCUGAGCCAAAGGUGAACUUGAUGGCCAAAUUUCUGACAUCCAUCACAUUUGCACACUAUAUCCUCCGCGUCUGCAAGAGCCGUCAACCAAUAGAACCCAUGUCUAAACACCUUUGACACCAAAUCGUGACCCGGCAUGAUACCCACAGUCGCCAGCAUUUAUCUCAUUGAGAUUUUCUCGUCCUUCUUCGGGGGAACACAUCAUUGAAAGACCCCGCAAGUGCUUCGUUUGUGUAACUCGCCCCUAUGGAUGGUCAUAGACUUGCACCGUUGUAUUAUUUGUCGAUCGGUGAUCUCAUCAACUGGUAGCUCGCCUCGGACUAGGUAAGUUAUAUAAGGAGUCAUCCAAUCAGGAAUUGCCUAGAGUGCCGCCACCAGCUGUGACUCUGGGUCAGGAAUUUCUAUGUCCUCUUCAGAAGGCAACUUCACAGAAGAGUUGUGUAAGACAUCCAAGAACACAUUAGGGGGAACAAGCUUGCGUUGAGAUCCGAGUCGUGAUAAAGCUUCAGCGCCUCACUAUGUCGAUGAUCAAUGUGAUCAACAUGGUAGCCGUGAAAAUGACCCGCCACCUCGGUUACUGCACGCCUAUAAGCCGCCAUCAGUGGACCUUUGGAGUCCCAAGUUCCAGAUACUUGUUGAGAUACCAAAUCUGAGUCGCCCAAGCAUCUAACCCGGCUAAGGUUCAUCUCCUUAGCUAUUUUGAGCUCGUGUAAAAGAGCCUCGUACUCAGUUGCGUUGUUAGUGCAAGGAAACAUGAGUCAUAAAACAUAGAAAAACUUGUCACCUCGUGGAGAGGAUAACACCACGCCAGCUCCCGAGCCUUCCAAUUGCCUGGAACCGUCAAAGUGGAUAGUCUAAUACGUGUUAUCCAACCUAUCUUCUGGAAUCUGCAACUUGGUCCAAUUGUUGAUGAAAUCCACCAGAGCCUGAGACUUGAUGGCUGUGCGGGGCAUAUACUUCACGCAAAAAUGCUACACUUACGGGCAAGAUACAGAUGAAACUUACGGAUUGUUGCCGCUUAGCUAAUCCCUCCGCCCCGCUGAUUUCAAGGGUGGGCCCUGGUGCCCCAUGUUUCCGGUAAAACAUGGACAACUGAGUCCGUAAGUUACUUUCCGUAGCUUCCGUCCGUAAAUCUAGCGAAGCUCUACUUCAUGUGAUGGGGCCAAGCUCAAUUGCCCACUUAGCAAUCCGUCCAGUGGCCUUGUGGUUCUGUAUAAUGUCCCCAAUUGGCGCUAAACUGACCACAAUGAUUGGAUGCUCCUGAAAGUAAUGUUUCAGCUUUCGUCUCGCCAUAAAAAUCCCAAAGACCACCUUCUGCCAAUGUGGGUAUCGUUGUCUAGACAAGGUUAACACCUCGCUGAAAAAAUACACCGGUCACUAAACCGGAUACUCCUUGCUUUCUUACUUGCGUUCGACGACCACCGCCACACUCACCGCCUUUGAAUUAGUAGCAAUGUAGAGGAGCAUGGGCUCCUCAUCAGUCAGGGCGGCUAACACAGGCGGCUCAGCAAGUUGUUUCUUGAGGGCUUCAAAGACCUCAUUAGCUGCAUCUGUCCAAACGAAGUUAUCCGUCUUCUUGAGCAACUGGUAGAGGGGGAUGGCCUUCUCACCGAGGCGACUUACGAAGCGGCUCAAUGACGCGAUGCAACCCGCUAUGCGCUGGACCUGGUUGAUAUUGGACGGCUUACUAAGCAAAGUUAUCGCCUUCAUAUUGUUUGGGUUAGCCUCGAUGCCUCGUCAGACAUCGGGAAACCUAAUAACUUGCCCGCAGGAACACCAAAAAUACACUUGGCCGGGUUAAGCUUCAUCUGGUACAUGCAAAGAUUACCAAACAUCUCCUUGAGAUCUUCCAAGAGCGUUUCCUUCUUCUAAGAUUUCACCACGAUGUCAUCAACAUAGUCGUGAACAUUGCGUCCAACCUGACUGUGCAAACAGUUCUGAAUACAUCAUUAAUAAGUCGCCCCCGCGCUCUUAAGUCCAAAGGGCAUAGAAACAUAGCAGAAAGCGUUGAAAGGGGUUAUGAAAGCCGUCUUUACUGAUCCUCCUUGGCCAUCUUGAUCUGGUGGUAACCAGAGUACGCAUCCAGAAAGCACAAACGCUCGCAAACCGUAGUAGAGUCAAUGAUUUGAUCGAUACGGGGGGGGGGAGCGAAAGGAUCCUUCGGACAAGCUUUGUUGAGAUCGGUUGAAAGGACGUGGAUGUUGCCUAGAGGGGGGAGGUGAAUAGGCGCUUUAAAAUAAUUACGGUUUAGGCUUGAACAAAUGCGGAAUAAAACUAACAUUUAAUUUGUCAAGCACAAAACCUAAAACAACUAGGCUCACCUAUGUGCACCAACAACUUGUGCUAAGCAAGAUAAACAACUAAGUGAUAGCAAGAUAUAUGACAAGAAACAAUAUGGCUAUCACAAAGUAAAGUGCAUAAGAAAAGGGUUCACGUAAGAGAUAACCGAGGCAUGCGGAGACGAUGAUGUAUCCCGAAGUUCACACCCUUGCGAAUUCUAAUCUCCAUUUGCAGCGGUGUUGUGGGGACCCCGACUUACGAGUCGAGAUUGCCGAAUGAACGUGCUCAGUGAUCCCAGACAUCAAUGCUCACCGAACACAUAGAAACUGAGUAACAAGAGUCUUACAUCCAUACAUACUGUUUGAUACAAUAAAUGACCCUUGCGGUCAAGUCUUACAUAUAUAGGGCCUUGAGGGCCAACACACCCAACUUGACCAAUACUCGAAAUAUUGGUCGAAAGCGUGAACCCAUGCCACCAGACUUAACCUACAGGCAUUCUGACUGGGAAGCGUCCUAGCUCGCAGGAACGUCACCAAGUUACUCUUCACCAAAUCCUGAUCUCUCAUACCCGGUCAAUGAAAUAACCAGUGGCAAGCCAAUGAGUACUUUGAAUGUACUCACAAACAACCCAUGAUGUGGAUAAUGCAGUUGGUAUGGUGAUAAGUGAUAUGCAGCAUUUGCGGAAAUCUUUGAAUGUAAAUAAACAUGAUCAUAGACGCGUAUGGAUGUGCAUCAUAAGCUAGAUGGUAUUUAGAAGAACAUGUUACAGAUAUCGACAUAUCUGCUAUGGGCUGAACACUUUGGGUUCACCCAGUAUGCCAAGUCACCAAACUUGGUCAUAUCAUCCCUUACUCACAUAACUCCUUGAACACACCCACACUUGGUUUAUGCGGAAACAACUAGACGUAGUUUAAGCAGCACCACCCAACUGUCCUUGACCAUGGACAUGGCUAUUCAAAUAGUUUUACACUCUGCAUAGGUUGUACGCUGUACCCACGAGAUCCAGGAAACUUCCGUGUCAUCCACGACUCGCAGUAUAUAACAUACCCGAGGUAAGUACCCGAUCAAUGCCUUUCCCAUGACGAUACUAGACAAAGAGGCUCACUCGAUUGGUACCCAGCCCACAUGAUGUACAUCUUAUGAGCACCAACUCUGGACAAUAUCAUCCAUGCGGGGACCAACGGUGUGCCCGGAACACGUAAACACGACAUAGUCGUCCUACCUGGCACGACCCCAUCACGAGAGUGACCACACAUCACUCCCGCCACUAGUAAUGUUGCUCUUUGCUAGCACCGACAAGAGUAAUCAACAAGGCCCCGUCCCAUAAAGGGGUAACAUGGUCACACAUGUAAGGUUGGGACGGUCGACACAUCAUAAAUCUAUUCCCAUUUCCAAAACCACUCACACCAAAAUACACCCAGUGCACCACUGCUUCACAAGUGGCCACCUAACUCAUCAUCACCCUCGGGCAUUAGUGGCACCCGACGUGGUUUUCAUAAAUCUUGAUUUUACCAUCAUCAUACUCAUGCUUCUACCAUGCUUAGCUCUACUUGUCAACAUGAUAUCAGCGUGAUCCUCAUAGGUGGUAGGAUCAUGCUCAAAAUGCAAGUGCUCCGGAGGAGCCAUAGGUAACAUCAUAUCUAUGAUAAUUUUUUUACCGAAUAUUCAUGAUCAUAUGCAACGGGAAUGAUUGCUCUACUAGCAUGUAAUAUCAUAUUUGUUCAAACAUAGUCAAAGGGCUGCUUGCCUUUGCUCUCAUAAGUUCUCGGGGUCUUCGAGGUCUUCCGGUCCAACUCCGAGUACUCCGUCUACUCCGUAAACUAUCGUUGGAAACAAACACAGUAAGCCACACAGCAAGCAGAAACUAAGUGCUAAAUUAAUAGGAGUUUUAUUUUUCUUGGACCUCUUCGGUCAUAAGAAAAAUACCUGAAGCUUGCUAUACGAGUUUUGGACAAUCAGGGAUUUUUGAAUGGGUGGAAGGAGGAAUAGGUGAUCCUUAAAGAAGCCUACAGAAAAUAAUAUGAUAAAAAUGAGUGGAGGCACUCAUUUAACAUAACAUAAUUUUAGAAAUAUGUAGGAAGUUGUUUCACUGGAUUUGGAGUUGAUAUGAAUAUACUAGGGAUUUUCUAACAUUGGAUAAAUAGCAAAAGGGAGCUAUUUAUUUAUUGCAACAGAAAUAAGUCAUGCAAAAAUGUCGACCAAGGCUUCAAAAAUAGGGCAUGAUAUUAGAAGGCUCUGGAAUUUGGAAUCACUCCAUUUAGAGUUGAUUUGAAUCUUCUAGGAUUUUUGAAAGGUGAGGCUACGAGUAUUCAAUUCUAUGUUUGAAUAAUGAUACAACAGAAAAGUUGUUUGGAAAAAUGUGCAAAGCACACCUUUGGAUAGCCCUGGAUUUUAGGAACCUGCAGAACUUGGAAUCAUCAGAUUUGGAUCUAAUAUGAAUUUAUUAUGGAUUUUUGAAUUGUGCCAAGAGGAGAAAAUGAAUAAAAGGCUCAACCUUAGGGGCUAUCAUGCGCCCAUGGCACCGCAGAGGAGUUGGGCCGGCCCGUUGGCUCGGCCUGGCCAGCCGUGGCCACACAGUAGGCGCCUUCGGCCUCUUUACGUUUCCCACGCGGGGAGGCAACUAACACGGAGCCCAUCUCCACUUAAGGUGGUUGGGCCCAGCCACCGAGCCGCUUACACGCGGGGCCCAACCGGCAGUUCCUUCUCCUUCAUCCGUUCGAUUUGGGGGCAUGCAUGGGAGGCAGGGCUAGCCGAUGCAGGGGCCGACUCUGACGGCUCCAGCCUUUCCCAACGGCGCACCCGCUAGCAGGGGCUCGGGGCCUCCCGCACCCGAGCAGGAGCCAACACCGUAGGGGAGCCUCGGGGGCGAAGGAGCCCUCGGUCAUGGCGGUCGUGGCGAGGGUGCUCCGGCCGGUGCGAGGGGGAGUAGAGGAGUGGGGCAGCUCCGUGGUGGUGCAGAGCAACCGUGGAAGGGGUAUGCGAAAUAGAGGAGGGGCCAGCCACCUCAGUUAAGCUGAGGCCGAGGUGGCACCAUGGCGGCCAGGGGAGAAAGAAGAGGGUGGGGGAGCUCCAACGGCUAGGCAUGGGUGGUCUUGCGAACACAGGUAUUGGAAUGAGGCUGCAGGGGCUCGGGGAGAGCUUCAAAUGGAAGGAUACACGAAGGAGGGCUCGGGAGCUCUCUGGUGCUCCCUGUGCAUGGCGGCCACGCGCCCCAGAUGGAUCUUGGAGGAUAGCCAGCGUUUGGAAUGGCUUGGUGUCGGUGCACUAAAUACCGGGGGUCCCUAGUGCCCCAGACUUGUGCACGGGCGCAAAGAGCCCCUGCCGGCAGGGCAAGGCAGGACCCAGUCAAGAUGCAACCCCCAAGAUUAUCAAGGCCUUGACAAGCCUGCCUUGCCGGGAGGAUGACCAAAGCCACGCCCAUUUGGUGGGCGCGAUGAACUCACCAAGUACAAGACCCCGACAAUCUCCCUUGCCUGGAUAACGACUGAAGCCCCCAGCAAGGUCCCUUGCCGGGACAAAGACUCAAUGCCCCGGCAAGCUCCUUGUCGGGAUGACGGGCAUAGCCACUGGAGGGCAACCGUCCUUACCACAGUGCCACCGCCCCCAAGUGCCAGCGCAUUUUGCAUGCGCCGGCGCAACGUCCAGGUGUCGAAACACUUGGAUACGUGUCUUCACCAGCACAUCGCUGACAAUGAAAAGACGUGCAUUGAAUGCACCUGACAGCGGUAUAUGGGUAAGCACCUCCCUAGGUUCACUGUAACUCCUCGUGAACCUACCACCGAGCAUUGUAGGUGACCCCUUUGCCUAUAAAAGGAGGCCCUUAGCUCAUUUUGAAAGGGUUAGACUCUUUGGACAUUUACCCAUAAGACGAUCAUCAACGGUCACUGUAACAAUCAACAACAAAACGCUUAAUACAACCAGACAAGCAGGACGUAGGGUUUUAUGCGGAAGCGGCCCGAACUUGGGUAAAAAGGUUUGUCGGGUGCUGAUUGUUAGCUCUGCUCUUCACGUCACCUUUCCCCGCCCUACGAUCACAAGGGUUUCACAUUGAUUCCCAUAGGUGUCGACCCUGCAUCGCCGACAUCUUCGACGCGCUCAAGGGGGAUGCCCUGGUGCUCUGAGACACACAACAACGGCUGGAUACGGCCUGGAGGAAGAAAACAAGGUGCAGAGCACCAGUUUUGCAUGCCAGGGUGGUGGUCACUACCCCACUUGGUGUCUUGGGCCGCCCCUUGGCCAUGCCAAGGUGUCAAGCAUGCAAGGCAUGCAUGCCAUGAAGCAUUGGAGGAGUUUGGACCCAAUUGGAUCAGUUUAGACUAGGGUUUGGCUGCCAUUAAGUUUGUAGCACCAAACUUAAGGCUGGAAAUGAGGGUGCUUAAUGGAGUAUCUAAGGAUGGGACUUUGUCUAGCAUGCUUGUCUAUGCAAGGACUACAACAUGCCAAGUUUGAGCUCAAGCAGAGGAGGUUAGCUAGUACUUGGUGUACAAAGCUACCUUUCAGCCAGAAAUCAACUUGUAGAUGUGUUGCUCAUUUCCCCCACAUGAUCAUGACAUAUCUUGGUUUGAAAUGAUGCCUUGGGAUGCUGGGGACCCUCUGGAAAGAGUUGGUGGCAUUAACUUAAGCAGAGGCGGGGAAAGAGGGGUAAAAAUGGUGAUUCAAGGGUAAAAUGAGAAGUAUUUACAUGGAGCCUCUCUCCAAUAAUUGACCACAGGUCAUGGCGACGCUACUGGAGGUAAAAUGUAACUAUAUAGAGCUGUGGUAAAAGUUUAAGAUCAAGGGUAAAUAUGGAAGGGGUCAAAGGAGCCAAUUUGGUGGGUGCACACAAGGUGUUUGAUGAGUGUCAGGGCAACCAGAUGGACCUCAACUGAUAUGAAACUUCACACGAUCAAAUAAUGGGUGAAAAUAAGCUUCGACACCAAAUUUGGGAUUUUGUGGAGAAGGUUUCCAAUGUAGACUUGGAAACCCAUGAAAUGGGCAGAAAUGGCCGUCUACUUACAAGGCUAUUCAAAUCAAUUCCCACAAAUCCAAUAUUUGGUGUGGGGGCAUUAUUUGAGCAUUAAAGCAUGCCCAAAAAGUUUGGGGUCAAUCGGAGAAACUUUAUAAUGUAAAGUUUCCCAAAAUUAGAAAUCAACAGAGAGGGUUUUGAGGGGCUUGGGACAAGUUCUUCUAUUAUCCUUGAUGCACCACUUGGUUUGGAUGCAUUAUUGGAGUAUCAGAACAUGUCUACCAAAUUUGAGCACAAUUGGAGAUACUUGGCAAUGUAGAGUUGCUCAAAUUUGGAUAUGGACAUAUAGGGUUUUAGAAUAAUUAAGUGAAUCAAAUCAACUUGGAUUGAGAUGAAACUUGGCAAGAUCAUCACAUAUAUCAUAUGUGACAUGCUAGAAUUUUGGUGGAAUUUAUGGAGAAUAUUUCUUAUAGAAAUAUUCCAAAAGCUUGAAAUAGACAGGAAAGGUUUUGAAGGGGUUUGCCCAAUAGUUUGAACAUAACCAUGUGUUGAAACUCAUAUGUAUGUAAUAUAUAUGUCCACUUAGUUUGCCCUAAUUUUUCUUAAAUAUUUUGAAAGCAAUAACAAAACUUUCCUUCAUAAGAGACCAUUUCUAGCCUCACAGGAAGGCAUUUACAUAAAAUAGUAAAAUAACUUUUAAAAUAAUAAUAUUGUGGUUUUGGGAAGUCAUUUUGAUAACGAGUUUUAAAUAAAAUAAUUGAUGAAAGAUAAAUUCCCUAAUUUGAGGACUUGUAAUACAAAUCCCAUCUCAGGGGUUUUGAAAGCUUAAUUCAAAGAAAUGCUUUUUGGUGAAAAUAAUCUUUGGUAAAAAUUGUUUCUCGUCCUAAACACAUGGCAUGAUCAUUAGGUAGGAGUUUUGGGCUAAUGAGGUGAGUUUGGAGAGUAACAGGAAUUAGUGAGAAUCAAACAAAGGCAUACAAGCAAUAGUCACUUCAAGCACCACAAGCAUUCAUAAAAAAAUUAAUUGGUCCUAAUUUUUUGAGAAAAGUCAAAUUAGUCAGGAGAGUUAAAAACAUGGUGUUACAGGUGUGGAGGCACAAUGCUCCCCAAGAUGCCACUAAGGCCACUGUAAUCUCCUCACACCCUCGCACAAUGCAAGAUGCCAUGAUUCCACUAAGGGACCCUUGAGGGCGGUCACCGAACCCAUACAAGCAAGGUUGGGGCAAUCUCCACAACUUAAUUGGAGGCUCCCAACACCACCACGAAGCUUCACCACAAUGGCAUAUGGCUUCGAGGUGACCACAAAUGCUCGGGGUAAUCUCCACAACUUAAUUGGAGACCCCGACGCUUGCCUGGAUCUUUACACCACAAUGAUUGAGCUCCGAUGCACCACCAAGUUUCUAGGGGUACCAAGUACCCAAGGGUAAUAAGCUUCUCAACUUCUCACUUCCACGUAUCACCAUGGAGAACUCAAACCGAUGCAACUAAUGCAAUGGCAAGAACACACGAAGUGGUCAAGUCCCUCACACUCAAAUCCCUCCACAACAACAAAAGUUAUGGAGAAAUAUGAGAGGAAGAACAAGGAGCUCACAUAGAGGAGCAAGUGAUUAGUGGAGAUGUGGAUCUAGAUAUCCUCUCUAUUUUCCCUCAAGAACUAGCAAGAAUCAUUGGAGGGAUUGAGAGUUAGCAUGCUCUAAGAAGGUCAACAAUGGGGGGAGAACACGAGCUCAACGGAUAGAUAAGGUCCAAUGGGGAAGAAGACCUCCUUUAUAUAGUGGGGGAAAGAAUCCAACCGUUACCCCCACUCACAGCCCGACCGGAGCGGUACUACCGCUGCUAGGAGUGGUACUACCGCUACGAGACGUCCGAGGGAGCGGUACUACCGCCCGGGAGUGGUAGUAAAAAAUUACUACCGCUCCACGGGCGGUACCACCGCUCCAGGAGUGGUACCACCGAUGGCACUAGGAGCGGUAGUACCGUUGGAUACUAAAACUGCCAUAACUUUCGCAUACGAACUCCGAAUCGAGCAAACUCAAGCUUGUUGAAUUCAAAACGAUAAGAGCUAUCCGGAAGCGACAUAAAAUCUUAAGAACAUGCAGUUAUGAAAAUGCCAAUGAUAUAGAGAUGUGAGACCUCUAUGAAUGAAGAACCAGCAAAAACUUCCAACAUAAAAAACAUCAUAGAAGAUGCAUAUGGACUCCGUUUUCGAUGAACUAGAGCUUGUCAUGAAGAUGACCAUAAGCUCUAAAACUCACAAGGAGAAACACCAAACAAGAACCAAGAUAUGAUGCAAGGGUGCAAAUGUUUUGAGCUCUCAAUGAACGAUACGAUCAAGCUACUCACUUGAGAGCCCCCCCUUGACAGUACGACAAACUAUUCUACAAUAGAAAAACAUAUCAAGGGCAAACCUAUACCUUGCAACUAGUCCUCUUGAGCUAGAUGAUGAUGAUCUUAGCUUCCUCAAGAUGGACGACCUUUCUUGAUUUCUCCCCCAUACUCACUAUGGGUGAGCCAUGUUAGGAAAGCAACUUAUGUUUAUUGAAGGCCCAAGGGGCAUACAUAUAUUACACAAGACUUGAGGUGCAAGGAAAGUAAACAUAGACUAAUAAGGACUCAUAGACUCCUAUACUAAUACUAAUACUUCCUAACCCCCCCUCAAAUGCAAAGCGUAUGCAAUAGCAUUGUAUUUGAAGAAGUGUAAUACUAACAAAAAAUGAUAAUCCAAAUCCGCGUCUUGAGGGUGUCGUCGUAGCAUGAAGAGUCUUCAAAACUUGUCGAGUCGCCGAAGGAGAUAACGAAGAGAUGGCACAUCAGAGGUAUACACCGCAUCACUUGAAGAUACAAGAUAAGUAUCAAGAGAAGAUGGGUUGUCAAAAGAAGAUGGCACAUCAAGAGAAUAAAGCAUUGUGCAGAAAAUCAUAGUCCAUGACAACCGUCAGCGAAAGAAGCUCGGUGGAUAAGGCACGAUGGACAUAGAUCGACAAUGCAAAAGAAGUCCAGAAAGUCCUAUAGAAAACAACAAGGGCAAGUAGGCCACAAAAGUUGCAUAGAAAGGAUCACGACCCGAGAAAGGCUGACGGACUAAGGUAUGGUGGACUCGCAUGGCAUGAGAAAACACAAAAUAUCAACGGAUUUGGUGGACGCAGCGGAAAACAAAGAAAACUAGAAAACACACACUAGUUUAUGGAUGAUGGCAGCGGAAGAGAAAAAAAUAAUAUCAUGGCGGCGAAGGCCAAUUCCAACCAGAGUGUGCGUGAGACGGUCCUGACUGUGUAGAAGGUGGUUGCUCAGUGCGGGAAGCCUGAGUCACAAUACCAGUAAUACCCGUCGAGGAAGAACCUGAAGUAGCGAGCAGAAGCUUGAGUCUCAGAAUAUCUUGCUCAAUCAAAGCGAUGGCUGAAGCUGUCGAGGUAGAUGACGAAGUCUCUGUAGAUGAUGAUUGCGCCUGGUGCAAGUGUUUCUUCUUCGUGUAGCAGUGGGACUCAAUAUGACCAUCAUUGUUGCAAUAGCCACAAUGUGGACGGGGGCGACGUGAGCCUCUAGAAGGAGUGGGCAAGAGCAGCGAAGCACUCCAGUGAGAAGGGGUCGGUGCAGUAGGUGGCGUAGAAGUAGCCCGAGCAGCGAGCACCGAGGGAACCUCUAGUAAACCAGCACCACGUAAGCGAGUCUCCUCAGCACGAAUCUCAGAAAGCGCCUCCAUGAGUGAAAUACGGCCACAAGCAAACAACUGAGCACGCCAGGGCUCAAACUCCUUACGGAGCCGAGACAGGAACUCGUAGACGCGAUGAAACUCCAAGUUGGUCUGGACAGCCUGGCAACAGGGGCAAGUACGACAACCAGCAGUGCACAGAGAAUCGAGCUGGCGCCAGAUAGCAGAACUCUAUGCAUAGAAGUCAUCAACAGUAGAGUCACCCUGCUGAAGAGCAUGCUCCUGACGAACCACAGAGAGGUAUAAGGAAUCACUAGAGGGCGCAUAGCGCUGACGAAGGCGAGUCCACAUCUCAAAGGCAGUAGGAAGUCCCAAAAACUCAGAGGCAAACUGAGGCAGAACACUAGCAGUGAGAACAGCUGCAGCACGAGCAUCAUCAUCAAGCCACUGGGUGUAAGCGGACAGAGCACCGUGAUACACCUGAAGAGCCUCCUCAUAAGCCAAGACCUUCGCAUCAUAAACCCGGAUAGCAGCCUCACCAGCAACCUUAGCUGCAUCCUUCGUAGUCUGAGGAGCAUCCACAGGAAGAGCCAGAGGGAUCGGCGGAGUGGGAGCCACAGGAGGAACCGGACGUGACGGACAACAAACCUUGCCAGAAAGAACACCCCAAAGACGGAUGCCACGCAUGUGAAUGCGCAUAAAGCAAUGAACUCGGUGUAGUUACUACCAUCGAAGAUCACCGAACAACGAGGGACAACAACAUAGCCCGAUGUAGUAGACAUUUUUAUUUAAAUUUUUUUGGAACUCAGUCAACGACCGGGUACGCGUCUGACAGCAGGAUUGGAGCCGACGCGAUUUUGUGAGACGAGGCAUCAGAUCUGGCGGAAGUCUGAUGGGAACCACCUCUGAUCUGAACAGGAGCCGGCUGAUGGAUGAAAACCAGGGAACCACUUCCGUGUGAGCUUCCGCGCGGCCAAGAACCACUUGAUCUGAACAGGAGCCGGCUGAUGGAUGGAAACCAGGGAACCACUUCCCCGUGAGCCAGCUGCUAGAUGGAAACUAGGGAGCCACCUCGGUCUGGGCUUCUGGCGACGGGACGAGAGGUGGUCACGAGCUGCCAGAUGCAGAACCAGAGGACGGGGCGGCUGGAUCCGGCUCGGAUCAAUCUGAGCUUCUGGCGGCGGGACGAGAGCUGGUCACGAGAACCAGAGGACAGGGCGGCUGCGGAACCAGAGGACGGGGCGGCUGUAUCGGGGUGGGGCACGCCUGAAACGAGCAGGGACCCGGCGACUGGAUCGACCUGGAGCCGCGAGAACAAGCAGCCUCGCGGCGGGACAAGAUCUAGCGAGACCGACGGGAGAAGAAACUACGUCGGCUAGAAGAUUGGAUCGGGAAGAGCACGAGUUGCACGUGCGAAAAAAACCCUAAGCUCUAAUACCAUGUUAGGAAAGCAACUUAUGUCUAUUGAAGGCCCAAGGGGCAUAUAUAUAUUACACAAGACUUGAGGUGCAAGGAAAGUAAACAUAGACUAAUAAGGACUCCUAGACUCCUAGACUAAUACUAAUACUUCCUAACAAGCCACUUUUCAUCACAUUCUUAACAAGUCCAUUGCCACCACAAUGGACGGCAAGUUUCAAGCAUGAUAUUUUCGUGAUGCUCCACUUGAACUUGCACACCGCAAUCUUGAUGACGAUCACCACUUGAUGUCAUCCUUGAUAGGUUGAAUGAGAUCUUCCUCUUGAUGCAAACCCAUGGAAACACACCUAACCCCACAUAGAACUCUCACGAAUACAUGGGUUAGUACACAAAAGCGUUAUGGACAAUGCUUACCAUACCAUGAGAUCACUUGAUUCUUCUAGGUACAUAUUGUACGCUUUGUGUGUUGAUCAUCUUGAUUUACUCUCUGCUUAGUCUUGAUCAACCUUGUGUCUUUAUGACCAAUAUUUGGAUAAUACUUUGAAUACCACCUUGGUCAUCAUAUAAACUCCUUGAAACCAACCGAUGGAGUUCAAGAAGUGCCUAUGGACAAAUCCUUCGAAUAUAACUUAAGGCAACCAUUAGUCCAUAGGGAUUGUCAUCAAUUACCAAAACCACAUAUGAAGAAAUAUGCUCUAACAUCGGUGUAAUCAAUACACAUGCAAAAAGUGUCAUUCUUCUUGAGAACUAAGACCAGGUUAGCCAACCAUUCUGGGUGGAAAACUUCGAUGAUGAACCCGGCGACCAAGAGCCUGGCGACUUCUUCCCCAAUUGCCUUGUGUCUCUCCUCGUUAAAACGACAGAGGUAUUGAUGAUCUGGUUUCAUCUUUGGAUCCACAUUAAGGCGGUGCUCAGCGAAUUCUCUCGGUACUCCUGGCAUGUCAGAAGGUUUGCAUGCAAAGAUGUCCCAAUUGUCACGGAUGAAUUCGAUGAGCGCAGUUUCCUAUUUAGGAUCCAUGCCGGUCCCAAUAGUGAAUUUCUUAGAAGAAUAGUUCGGGGUGAAAUCGACUUGCUUGGUAUCAUCCAUGGGCUCGAACUUGAGGGGCGGCUCAACAUCGACAACGGGAUUUUUGAGCGGUCUCAUGUCGGCCCAGUCCACAUUGGCCUUGUGAAACUUCAACUCUUCAACCGCGCAAGUCGACUGAGCGUAUGCAGAGUCUCCUUCGUUGCACUCCUAUGCUAUCUUUCGAUCCCCAUUGAUUGUGAUGGUACCUUUGAGACCCGACAUCUUGAGAUUGAGGUACACAUAGCAAGGUCGGGCCAUGAAGCAGGCGUAAGCCGGCCGUCCGAACAAGGCAUGGUAGGGACUCUUGGUCUUGACCACCUCAAACAUCAGAGCGUCACUCCUAUAAUUGUAUUCGUCACCAAAAGCAACAUUUAAUUUGAUCCACCCGACUGGGUAUGCCGACUUGCCUGGGACUGACGUGAAAGACCGUGGUCGAAGGUAUCACGUCGCCCUCAGAAAAAUUCAUCCGUCGAAAGGUGUCAUAGUAUAGGAUAUUAAUGCUGCUCCCCCAUCCACGAUAACCUUUGAGAGGGUGUAUCCCCCAACCUAUGGCGCUACCACCAGUGCUAAGUCGCCGGGAUUAUCGACCCGGGGCGGAUGAUCGUCCCUACUCCAUGUAAUGGGCUGUUUUGACCAAUUGAGAUACCUGGGAACCGCGACUCAGUUAUGUUGAUCACCCUCUGCUUGACUUUCUUAUCCCGCGUGUAGGUGUUGGUGGUGAAAACAUGGUACCGACCAUUAUUCAAUUGCUUAGGGUUGCUCUGAAAUCCGCCCUGGUUAAUUUUUCUGCUGAAAACCGCCCUGGUUAUUAUAUUGCUGGUUACACUCACCAGAGUGCUGUCCACUGCCAUUGUUUGAGCCACCAUGCCCGUGAGGGGCGGAUCCUGGGAACCCUCCGGAUGAGCCCUUGUGCGAUCCGCCAGGACCAAACUGACUUGGGUGUCCACCACCAUUACCCCCUUGGUUAUCCCUGGACGCUUGGAGACGAAAUUCCUGCAUCACAUAACAGUAUUCCCAAGAAUGAGUAGAUGGGGUGUCCGGGGUACCGUGCUUAGGACAAGGUCCCUUAAGCAUCUCCUCAUAAUUACGUGGUUUUCUGCCACCGAAGCCUCGAGAUUGACUAGUGUUCCAACGCUGAUGUCUCGACCCGGUGCUGGUAUUGGUAACAAAAUCUGACCCGACAUCUUGCCGCUUUCUCUUUCCUUGACCUCCCUGAUUACCAUUGUGUCCAUGGGUUUUACAAUGGCCUUGGUUCCAUCCCCUUUCUCAAUUUCACUGGCUUUGUCAUCAUCUGAGCCGGCGUCCUUCGUGCCGUCUGACUUGGCGUACCUGGUGAGAGUGUCCAUCAACUCGCCCAUAUCCUGCACCUUUCUCUUCAAAUGACCAAGCUUAAAGACCAGAGGUUGAAAAUGACAAUUCUUCUCGAAGAUCAGCAUGGCUUGAGCCACCGUGAUGCCAUAGGAUGAGUGGAUGAUUUCCGCAACCCGACGUGUCCAGUGGUGAGCCAACUCAUCGAUACACUAAACGCAAUGCUGCAAAUCCACAAUUGUCAUUGGACGCUUGGAAGUUCCUCGAAAGUUUUUAAUAAAUUGCUCCUUCAACUCUGCCCAAGUGUUGAUAGAGUUGGGCGGUAGGUUUUUCAACCAUGUUCGAGCCGGCCCUUCCAACAUUAUCGUGAGAUAUUUGGCACACACUGCAUCACUAGCAUCAAGCAUGUCCAUAGCAAGCUCAUAACUCUCAAUCCAUGUGCGUGGCCCAAGAUCGACUGUGUAGUUGGGAACCUUGCGAGGACCUUCGAAAUCUUUAGGCAUGCGCUCGUUGCAAAGAGCAAAAGAGAAACAGGGGACCCCACGGUCCUACCACCCGACUCACUAUACACAGGCGCUGGCUGGGCAUAAGUCGGAACCACCUGAGCCGCCAGCGCUGCCGCCACAUCUGCUUCUGCCUGACGGGCGGCACGGGCCGUGUUCACAAGCGCCUGGGCAUUUGACAUUGGUGGUCCGGGCGUGUUGGCUUGAGGCUACUGUCGAGGCCGCUCCUGGAAACCGUCGGAGACUCCUCAUGGCGACUCUUGGUGCGGCUGGCAUGCGGUGUGGAGUGCAACCGAUCACGACUGUAAGAGAAUUGCACCUGUUGAACCACAGUCGUCUUACAGCAUCUCGAUGGUGUUCCUAGCUUCCACCUUAAUUGGGGUGUUUCCAUGAAUGGGGAGAGACUCCAGGUUGCGUGUAGCAGACAACAUGUUGUCUACGGGAUUGGAGAAGUGGCCCUGUGGUGUUCAAAAAUGCUGAACCGAUUGCUGGAUCGGUGGAGGCUGAACCGGAUGCUGGGUCGGUGGAGGCUGAGCCGACUCAACCUGUACAUCUAUCUGUCGAGGCGGUUUAUGCUGCACAUCACGCGUGCGUGGGCUAUUAAACAAACGAGUCGGGUUGAGGUUGGCUGGAAAGCGACUCUGAUGUCUCCUUUGGUGCACCGCAUUGGAGGCGUCUCACUGAUGCUCAAGCCACCACACCUCAGCCUUCAUACGUUCCGUCUCCUUGUUGAUUCGAGCUUGCUUAUCCGCCAUCCGGGUGUUUUCAACGUCAUCUCCCGCUGUACCUUGGCCAUAUCCUCAUGCAGUUUUACCAUCUCUGCGUUGAUUUCCUCCUGAUUUUCGAUAGUAAUGGCGAUUGCUACGAGUUUUGACAUCUCCCCCAUCAGAUCCAUCACGGCUUGGGACGGAUUUUUUCCAGACCCGCUGGCUCCAUUGGCGGCUCCUGCAUGUGGCUGAUCCUGAGCCGGCGCGGCCCCUACCAUGUAGAUGGUGACUUCGCGAGGCGGCUCUUGCUGGCCUUCGGAGAUCACCACCAUAGGGAAGUCACCAAGCCCUCCGUGUCUCCCAUGGACGACUCAUCAUCAGAGUUAAUAGGGGUGUCCCCAUCAGUCACCGGCUCAUCCGGGAGGUUGACCCCGUGCGUGAAGCCAACGAAGACGCGACGCUGCCUGAUUUGACGCUGGGCGGGUUGAGCGAGCCAAGUCGGCUCGAUGAUAUCGGUGCAGAUGUCCGGCUCGGGAAGAGGCGCGCCGAUUUUGCCGGUGAAGACGUGAAUCCUGCUGAAGGAGACCCGGUAACCAGAUUUGAUCGAACCGGCCUCGGGACCCCAGCUCAAAUUGUCGAUGUAGCACUUUCCACGAUGGCUCUUGGUCAUGAGACCAACCGCGUAGCUCCCGAACCCUGGAAGGGCUCCCUUUGAGAACUCAACUCCACCGUGCGCUGGCCCCAUGGUGGACGCCAACUGUCGUAGUUUUUUCACGAUAGAUGUCCUCGUGAAACAACUUAGUGAUAAGGCCAUCGCAACUAUGUGGCGACUCAAAGGGGUUGAUUGGGAACGCGAGACGAGUUUACCCAGGUUCGGCUCCUCUGAUGGAGGUAAAAGCCUAUGUCCUGCUUUGUGUGUAUUGAUGAUGAAAUUGAUUACAAGGGUGCGUAUUCGCCUGACCUAGCUCUUGAUUGAUUGUAACUUAAAUCUACCGGCCUUAGGGAUUCGCCUUUAUAUACAGGUCGAGACUCUAGGUUUACAAGAGUCUGGGUCACAUUAUGAUUCGUUACCCGAUAUGUCUUUAACUCGUCUUACUCCUCUACCAAGGAAACUUCUCAUGAGCUUCAACCUUGUGAGCUCAGAGUCGCCAUCUUCGUGUCCUGGGCCGCACCCAGCCCCCCUUGGUAAACCGCCUUGCGCCUCCUGUCUUGUAUGUCAUGGCCCAUCUUGAGUAUGAACAUUGAGCCGCCAUAAUCUUGACCCUGCCUCAUAGGGCGGGUCACACAACGUGAAAAUAUCCCCAACACAUGCUAGAAUUGUAUUGAUUGGAAACUCAAAUACAUGUGUAGAUACAUAGACAAUACAUUGUCCCUAGUGAGCCUCUGAUGGACUAGAUUGUUGAUCAAAGAUGGUCAAGGUUUCCUAACCAUAGACAUGAUAUGUCAUUUGAUAACGGGAUCACAUCAUUAGGAGAAUGAUGUGAUGGACAAGACCCAAACUAUGAACAUAGCAUGUGAUUGUGUCAGUUCAUUGCUACUUUUUUCUGCAUGUCAAGAUCCCGGACAUCACAAGGAGUUCCGGAAUGGGUCCGAGACGAUGAUUGAUAUAUAGGAAAAGGGUAUUUGGGCUCUAAAAAAGUUUCGGGCAUUUCCGAUAAUUUACCGGGAGUGACGAAUGGGUUCCGAGGGUUCACCGGGAGGGGCCUACCACCCGGGGGGGCACAUAGGCCUAAGAGGUGACGCACCGUCCCUAGUGGGCUGGGCAGCCAGCCUCAUGGACCUAUGCAACGAAAUAGUGGAGAAGGGGAGGAGUUUGACUAGGAGGAGGAGUCCUCCUAGCGCCUCCACCAAACCCACUUGGAGGAGGACUCCUCCUCCUCUUGGGCGUGGCCGACCAACCUUAGGGGAAACCCCAGGGCACCACCCUUCCCCCUCCCUCCUAUAUAUAGUGGAGGGUAGAGAGGGCAGCGACACCUCAAUCAAAGGCGCAACCCCUCUCCCUUCCUCCAGUUCGUUCUUCCUCUAGAUUAGGUUUGGUAGUGCACGACGAAGCCCUGUCGGAUCAGCUCCACCAUCCUCGCCGCCACGUCGUUAGGCUGUCGGGGAACUCAGCUACCUCUUUGCCCCCUCUUGCUGGAUCGAGAAGGCGAAGAUCGUCAUCGAGCUGUACGCGUGCUGAACGCAGAGGUGCCAUUCAUUCAGCACUAGACCGAGAUGGAUCAUGAUGGGAUCGCGGGACGGAUCAUGAUGAGAUCGCGGGGCGGAUUGGGAUUUGGAUCGCGAAGAUGUUUGACUACAUCAACCACAUUAUAUACGCUUCUGCCUAGCGAUCUACAAGGGCAUGUAGAUACAAUCUCUCCUCUCGUAGAUGGUCAUCACCAUGGAUAGAUCUUGUGUGUGCGUAGGAAUUUUUUUGUUUCCCAUGCAACACUCCUGAACAAUGGUAUUAGAGCUAGGUCUAUGCAUAGGUGACAUCUUGAGUAGAACACAAAGGAGUUUGUGGGCGUUGAUAUUCAGAUUGCUUCCCUCCUUAGUCUUUUCUUGAUUCAACAAUAUUGUUGGAUGAAGCAGCCCGGGCUAACCUUACUUGUACGCUUACGAGAGACCAGUUCCAUCGACUAACAUGCAACUUGUUGCAUAAAGAUGGCUGGAGGGUGUCUGUCUCUCCUACUUUAGUUGAAUCGGAUUCGACAAAGAUGGUCCUUGGAGAAGGUUAAAUAGCAACUUGUGUAUCACCAUUGUGGUUUUGCGUAAGUAAGAUGCGUUCUUGCUAGAUACCCGUAGCAGCCACGUAAAACAUGCAACAACAAAUUAGAGGAUGUCUAACUUGUUUUUGCAUGGUAUGUUGUGAUAUGAUAUGGCCAAUUACAUGAUAUGAUAUAUUUGAUGUAUGAGAUGAUCAUGUUGUAAUAAUCAAAUAUCGACUUGCAUGUCGAUGCUCCGGCAACCAGCAGGAGACAUAGGGUUGUCUUCUAUUUAUUUUGGCACUUGGUGAUGCUUUACUUUAUCGCUAAAUCAGUAGCUAUAGUAGUACACACAUAGUUAACGCGACAACCUCGAUGGCAACACAAUGAUGGAGAUCAUGGUGUUGUGCCGGUGACGAUGAAGAUCAUGUCGGUGCUUUGGAGAUGGAGAUCAAAAGCACAAGAUCAUGGCCAUAUCAUGUCACUUAUGAUUUGCAUGUGAUGUUAAUCCUUUUAUGCACCUUGUUUUGCUUAGGACGACGGUAGCAUUAUAAGGUGAUUCCUCAGUAAAAUUUCAAGAUAAAAUUGUGUUCUCCUAAGUGUGCACCGUUGCAAAAGCUUGUCGUUUCGAGACACCACGUGAUGAUCGGGUGUGAUAGACUCUAUGUUCACAUACAACGGGUGCAAGACAGUUUUGCACACGCGGAACACUCGGGUUAAACUUGACGAUCCUAGCAUGUACAGACAUGGUCUCGGAACACAAGAGACCGAAAGUUCGAACAUGAGUCAUAUAGUAGAUAUGAUCAACAUAAAGAUGUUCACCAUUUAAGCCAACUCAUCUCACGUGGUGAUCUGACUUGGGUUGGUGAAUUUGGAUCAUGUAUCAUCCGAAUGACCAGAGGAAUGCCAAUUUGAGUGGUAGUUCUUAAGUAAUAUGAUUAAUCGAAUUCAUUAUCAUGAACUUAUUCAAAAUGUCUUUGCAAAUUAUGUUGUAGAUGAUUAUCUUGCGCUAUAGCUCCCAUGUUUUUGAUAUGUCCCUAGAGAAAACUAAGUUGAAAGAUGAAAGUAGAAAUUAUGCGGACCGGGUCCGUAAACUAAGGAUUGUCCUCAUUGCCGAACGGAAGGCUUAUGUCCUUAAUGCACCACUCGGUGUGCUACCCCCAAGCAUCGUCUGUGGAUGUUGCGAACAUCUGACAUACACGUUUUUGAUGACUACUUGAUAGUUCAGUGCGUCAUGCUUUAUGGCUUAGAAUUGAGACGCCCAAGACGUUUUGAACGUCACGGGACAUAUGAGAUGUUCCAAGAGCUAAAACUACGAUUUCAGGCUCGUGCCCGUGUUGAGAGGUAUGAGACCUCCGACAAGAUUCUUUGCCUGUAAAGUAAGGGAGAAAAGCUCAAUCGUUGAGCAUGAGCUCAGAUUGUCUGGGUGCUACAAUUACUUGAAUCAAGUGGGAGUUGAUCUUCUAGAUAAGAUAGUAAUUGACAUAGUUUUCCAAAGUCACUACCACCAAGCUACCGAGCUUCGUAAUGAACUACUCCCUCCGUCCCAAAAUAAGUGUCUUAAGCUUAGUAUAACUUUGUACUAGCUCUAGUACAAAGUUGAGAAAGUUAUUUUAGGACAGAGGGAGUUUAACAUAUCAGGGAUAGAGAUGAUGAUCCCUAAGCUAUUCGCGAUGUUUGACACCGCGAAGGUAGAAAUCAAGCAGGAGCAUCAAGUGUUGAUGGUUAACAAAACCACUAGUUUCAAGAAGGGCAAAGGGAAAGAAGGGAAAAUUCGAGAAUGACAAGUUAGUUGUCACUCCAAUGAAGAAACCCAACAUUGAACCCAAACCCGAGACUAAGUGCUUCUAUGAUGAGGGGAAUGAUCACUGAUGCGGACUUGCCCUAGAAACUUGGUAGAUAAGAAAGCUGGCAACAUCAACAAAAAUAUAUUAGAUGUACAUGUUAUUGAUGUGUACUUUACUAGUACUCCUAGUAGCACAUGGGUAUUAGGUACCGGUUCAGUUGCUAAACGUUAGUAGCUCGAAAUAAAAGCUACGGAAUAAACGAGGCUAAAGGCCAGGUGACGAUGUGUGUUGGAAGUGUUUCCAAGGUUGAUAUGAUCACCAUCGCACACUCCCUCUACCUUCGGGAUUAUUGUUAAACCUUAAUAUUGAUUGGUGUUUGCGUUGAGCAUGAACAUGAUUUGAUCGUGUUUAUUGCAAUACGGUUAUUCAUUUAAAUAAAAUAAUGGUUACUCUGUUUACUUGAAUAAUACCUUCAAUGGUCAUGCACCUAAUAUAAAUGGGUUAUUGAAUCUCGAUCGUAGUGAUAUACAUGUUCGUAAUAUUGAUGCCAAAAGGAUACAAAGGCCUCGUUUUUCCAGUGAGAUGGAACGAGCAAGUGACUUGUUGGAAAUAGUACAUUUCGAUGUAUGCAGUCCAAUGAGUGCUGAGGCACGCAGUGGAUACCGUUAUGUUCUUACUUCAUUGAUGAUUUGAGCAGAUACAAGUGUAUUUGCUUGAUGAAUCACAAGUCUGAAAUAUUGAAAAGUUCAAGCAAUUUCAGAGUGAAGUUGAAAGAUCAUCAUGACAAGAGGGUAAUAUAUCUGUGAUGUGAUCGUGGAGGUAAAUAUAUAUCCGAGUUGCGAGUUUGGUAUACAUUUAAGACAAUGUGAAAAUUGUUUCACAACUCAUGCCACCUGGAACACCAUAGUGUAAUGGUGUGUCCGAACAUCAUAGCCGCGCCCUAUUGGAUAUGGUGCAUACUAUGACGUCUCUUAUCGAAUUACCACUAUCGUUUUGGGGUUAUGCAUUAGAGACAACGACAUUCAUUUUAAAUAGGGCACCAUUUAAAUCUGUUGAGAUGACAUCAUAUGAACUAUGGUUUGGAGAAACCUAAGCUGUCGUUUCUUAAAGUUUGGGGCUACAGUGCUUAUUUCAAAAGGCUUUAGCCUGAUAAGCUCAAACCCAAAGCGGAUACAUGCAUCUUCAUAGGAUACCCAAAACAGUUGGGUACGCCUCCUAUCUCAGAUCCGAAAGCAAAGUGUUUGUUGAUGAAAAUGGGUCCUUUCUCGAGAAAGAGUUUCUCUCGAAAGAAUUGAGUGGGAGGAUGGUGGAACUUGGUGAGGUUGUUGAACCAUCACUUCAAACAGAGUGUAGCAGGGCACACGAAAGUUUGUUCCUGUGGCGCCUACACCAAAUUGAAGUGGAAGCCAACGAUGAUGAUCAUGAAGCUUCUGAUCAAGUUACUUCCAAACCUCGUAGGUCGACAAGUACACGUACUACUCCAGAGUGCUACGGUAAUCCUGUCUUGGAGGUCAAGUUGUUGGAAAACAACGAACCUACGAGCUAUGGAGAAGCGAUGGUGGGCCUGGAUUCCGAAAAUGGCUGGACACCAUGAAAUCCGAGAUAGGACCCACGUAUGAAAACAAAGUGUAGACUUUGGAAGAACUACUUGAUGUUCGUAAGGCUACUAAGUAGAAGUGGAUCUUUAAAAGGAACACAAAUUAUGAUGGUGAAUGUCACCAUCUAGAAAGCUCGACUCGUCACAAAGAGGUUUCCGACGAGUUCAAAGAGUUGACUAUGAUGAGACUUUCUCACUCGUAGUGAUGCUAGAAGUCUGUUGGAAUUAUGUUAGCAAUUGCUGCAUUUUUUAAUAAUGAAAUCUUGGAGAUGGAUGUCAAAACAUUGUUUCCUUGAUGGUUUGAUGACGAGUUUACGGAUAUACUUCUCGCCCCUCGUUGGUUACCCCAAGUGGAAGGUGGAGAUGUAGUGAGUAGCAGAUUUCCCUUACACGGGGAGUGUAAGGUUUAUCAAACCAGGAGGACUCCGAGGAUCAACAAGUAGGUGUCCGCUGCUCUGGCACUUGCAGAAGACGUGGACGUGCACACACAACAAAUAUCUUUUCUCCCAACGAGUUCAGAGAGGUUGUCAAUCUCUCCGGCCUUGUAGUUUGCAAAGGAUCAAAACGCAAGCAGGAAUAGUGAUAGUGAUUGCAACGGAAAAGUAAAUAAAAAUGGUAAAUGAUGGAGGUGUAAACAAUGGUGGUAAUAUGGACCCGAGUCACAUCAUAUUCACUAGUGAUGUCUCUCUCCCAAAAUACGAUAAACAACUAUGCUGGGUAAACAAAUUACAACUGGGCAAUUGACAGAAUUAUAAAUGCACCGCAAUGCUAAUCAUGCUACAAGAAAGUUAGAGGCUCAAAAGUAAUGUGCAGUACGCCAAGACAAGUAGACCGUUUAUCCAUCAACAUGUACUCUCUAAUCAUCCACCUUGAGAUAUCUAUCCAGAACAUCUCGCCGGUCUUAAGUUGCGAGCCCCACCCAAAGUGUAAACUCAAAGCAACGGACAACUGCAUUAACGAACUUUGCGUAAGGUAAACAAUCCUUGCAACCGUGGUCACAAGCACCAUUGUUUUNNNNNNNNNNNNNNNNNNNNNNNNNNNNNNNNNNNNNNNNNNNNNNNNNNNNNNNNNNNNNNNNNNNNNNNNNNNNNNNNNNNNNNNNNNNNNNNNNNNNNNNNNNNNNNNNNNNNNNNNNNNNNNNNNNNNNNNNNNNNNNNNNNNNNNNNNNNNNNNNNNNNNNNNNNNNNNNNNNNNNNNNNNNNNNNNNNNNNNNNNNNNNNNNNNNNNNNNNNNNNNNNNNNNNNNNNNNNNNNNNNNNNNNNNNNNNNNNNNNNNNNNNNNNNNNNNNNNNNNCACAAGCACCAUUGUUUUAUCCCUGGUGGAAACAUCACAUCCCCUAGUCUCAUGUUUCUGUCACUCAAGCUAGACAUCACGGGGCAUGAACCCACAAUCAUGCAUAACGCUCCCUCUUGGAGUUACAAUCUACUACUCGGCCAAAGCAAUAAAAAGCAAUGGAGAACAUGCAAGAAUUACUCAAGAAAAUAAUAUAAAAGGAGAACCAAACAUAUAACUCAUUACAAUCUGAACAUAAUCUCAUAAUCCAUCGAAUCCCAGAAAACCGAGCAUAGCAAUAGCAGGAAAAUUACAUCGAAAUCUUAUUUUGACUCACCCCGAGACCACUAGUCAGGCACAAGUCAUAAUGAUCCUCUCCCUUUUGAUUUUGAGCACUCAUGCAAUGGAUGAGCGUAAGCAAGAUAUGUUGGCACUUAGGAUGGAAAGAGAAUAAUGAUGGGGAAGGAAGACAAAAAAGGCGUGAAAGCUCACAUCAAUGAGGACAAUCAUAGGCGAUAGAAAGCCAAAUGAUAGAUAUGAUGUGAGGAGUAGGGAUUGCCAUGCAACAAAUGCACAUAUGAGCUAAGGUAAGCUCUCCAAUGGAACUAGUGGGGGUGCAUACAACUUGCUUGCUCAUGAAGUCCUAGAGCUCAUUUUAGGAGGCUCAUCAUUGGAAUAUCCAAGCCAAGUUCUAUAGUGUAAGGGUCCCCACAUAGUUAUGCAUGAAUGAUAAUCUCUAUAGAGUACAAAUAUAACAAUGGAGUACGAGUGUGGAUCUUUCAAAAGGAAUAGUAGUGUUGCCCCCUUCUCUCUUUUUAUUUUUUUAUUCUUCUUUUUUAUUUUUAUUUUUUGUGGCCUCUUUGGCUCUUUUUAUUUAUCUCUCAUUUGUCCUCUUUGGGAUCUUUUCAUUUGUCCUCUUUGGGAUCUUUUAAUUUGUCCUCUUUGGUAUCUUUUCCUCACUUAAGGGCAACACUCUAUAUUUUACAAGAAUAAAAAGAAGAUCUUCACACUUUAUAAGAAGUACUCAACAUAAAGACAAAUGAAAACUAUCAUGAUGUAUGCAAAUGUAUGCCUCUGACAGUGUAGCAGGAUAUGCAAUGAAACUAGCGCCUCAUGUAGCAAUAAUAAGGGCAAAGCCCAACUAGCAUGUGGCUCCUCGAUCAAGCAAAAGCAUGUAUGACAUGAAGAUCAAGUCAUGACAUGGUGGAUGUUGUAUGUCAAUGUAUCUCGAAAAGGCUAUGGAAAUGCCUUAAUAGGUAGGUAUGGUGGCCGUUUUGAGGAAGGAUAUAAUGAGGCUUAUGAUGAUAGAGCGUAUCAUGCCAAGGGUUUGGAUGCACCGGCAUAGUUUGCACCAACUCUCAAUAUGAGAAAGGGCAAUGCACGGUACCGAAGAGGCUAGCAAAAUAUGGAUGGUGGAAGUGCCAACAAUUGAAUACUAACAUUAGUCCGAAGAACUCAUGCAUUUAUUAUCGGUAACUCUCUAUCUAGUCAGGGGAUUCACAAAGAGACAAGUACCCCGAGGAGGAGUGCCUGGAGGUUUGGUUAUCCUUGCGCAUCCUCGACCCAUGAUAACGUGAGGGUACUCUAUAUAUUCCAACCCCUCCAGAGGUUAGCGAUCCAUCUAGUAGCUAGAGUUCUCAACUAUUUCUUUUAAAAUACACACAAAUUUCCCAAAAUACGACACCUAUCACUAAUAGGCUCAAGCUCUUGACACCAAUAGUCCAAACAUUACUCAAAUCAAUACCUCAAAACUACUAUUAGUUACUACUAUACUUAAAUAACAACCUCAAUUACCUACUCAUGCAAGACACACUACUCAGUGCAACAAGCCAACUCUCUAAACAAGAUAAGCAUGAUAACUCAAGAGAGUUCCAAAAGCAACCUAAAUAAAAGCUCUGAAAAAUAUAAAGCAUGAAAACUAAGAGCUAAGCAUGACAACAGCUAUGAAAAGAUAAAAAACACACAAAAAAGAUAAGCAUGAAAACCUAUGUCUUGUUCUAGGGUGGAGUGGAGCGUGUUUCUCUCCCAAACAAAGAAGGCUAGGUUCCAACUUGUUAUGAACAACAAUCAAAACUCAAAAAACUAAAAAGUAAAGAGCGGGACACUCCAAGCAUAACACAUACCAUAUGAAGUGAUAAAAAUAUAGCAUGGAGAAGGACGAACUGAUGAUUGUUGAUGGAGAAGGGGAUGUACGAGGGCAUCCCCAGGCUUAGACGCUUGAGUCUCCUUGAAUAUUUUUCUUGGGGGUGCAUGGGGGUAUCCCCAAGGUUGAGCGCUUAACACUCCUGGAUCUUCUUUCAUCAUCUUCCAUCGCAUACUUGAAAACUCCCUUCAUACGAAACUCAUCAUAAGCUGAUUAGAGUGGUUAGUGCCCAUAGUAAAGUAACUCAUUCUUUACUGGAAAUACAGAUUUUUCAUGAAGAGCUACUGUUUCUCAAGAUUGCCAAAAGGUUUUUGCAAAGAAAAAGCAAGCUUAAUAUUUUCAAAACAUUGAAAACGCAAACAAGGCAGAAUCGGGGAAAAACAGAACAACACGUAGUAAAUAAUUUGUUCGGGGCAUUUCUGCAACUCAAAUCAAGAAAACUCAGAACAGACUCCACAAAGAAAAUUAUAUAAAGCAUACUUUCAAAACAAUUUAGAUCAAAAAUAUGAUCUGGUGAUUUUUGGCGAAGUUUUCCGUCAAGCAAACAUAAUUUGUUUCUGGAUAGCAUGUCACGACUUUUGAACUUUCUUGCAAUCGGAGGAUAAAACUUGGCACAAAGCUUGAAACUAAAGAUACAAUGAUGUUGCUAUAGUAGUAACAAGCAUCAAGACCACUAAAACUGAAAGUAAAAACAAAUUGGGUUGACUGCUAGUAAGUGCUUUCUUUUAUGCCUUUGAGCUAGGCAUGGUGCAAAAAGAUCAAGUAUUAUCAACUCCAAAAGAAUAACUUGCCCGAGUAACGGACUCAUAAGGUAACUUGAUCUUCUUUCAAGGGAAGUGUUCCAUUCCCUUUUUAAGGGGAAAUUGGAAUCUAAUGGUCCAUUCUUUCAUGUGAAUGAUAACACCAAUGGUGCGGAGAAAAGGACGUCCCAAAAUAAUUGGACAUGAGGGAUCACACUCAAUGUCCAUAAUAAGAAAAUCAACGGGAACAUAAUUAUCAUUGACAACAACAAGAACAUCAUCAAUUCUCCCUAAAGGUUUAUUUAUGGAAUAAUCAACAAGACGAACACCAAAAGAACAUUGAUCAAAAGGUUUCAAAUCAAGCAUAUCAUACAUUCUUUUGGGCAUAACGGAGGCACUAGGUCCAACAUCACAUAAAGCAAAGCAAGAUAAAUUAUUCAAUUUAAUCUUGACCAUAGGAUCCCAUCCAUCUUCUAGUUUUCUAGGAAUAGAAGUCUCUAGCUUGAGCUUCUCCUCCCUAGUUUUGAUAAGAUCAUUGGUAAUAUGCUCGGUGAAGGAAAUAUUGAGUGUACUAGUGUGGCGGUCUUUAGCCAUUCUUUGCAAAAAGGUGAUAACUUCGGAAAGACUACAAUUAUCAAAAUCAAGAUUACUACCAUUAAUUAAAGUGGUGGUGAUGUCAUCUAAGCUCAUUCUUUUGGUAGUCUCAAAGUUCAAAGGACCUUCUUGUUCUAAAGUUGACGUAUUAGCAUCACAAUUAAUAGGUCCAUUGGGACUAGGGAUGUGAUGGGUGCUAAUACUUUUGAGAUACUCAACAACUUGUAUAGUAGCAAGGGUAGUGUGUGUAGGAAGGCUCUUAAUCCUAUCUUCCUCUUCUUUUUCUCUAGCCCAUCUAUCCUUAAGUUUGGCUAGCAUUCUUAUGUUGUCAUUAAUUUGGACUUGGAUAGCAUUCAUGGGUGUGGUGUUCCUUUCCUCAAGGGGGGAAGUUCUAAUUUUAAGCAUCUCUACAUCAUGAGCUAUGUUGUCUACCUUCAAAGAGAGACUAUCUAUUUUUUCUAAUUUCUCUUCUACACUCUUGUUGAAGGUUUUUUGAGA
rnacentral:lncRNA from 1 species